GUGAAAGUUUACUGGAUCAUAGCUGAAAAGAAUAUACCACAAAAUAUUCCAAUCCAGCACACCUCUCGCACAUGGACCAAAUGAGAGGAUGAAAGCACCCCGACGAACCAGGGGGUUUCCAAGUAUCAUCCAUCGUUCAGAUAUCAUCCAGAAAGGAGGCCAAGCGUGGGAAUGAGAGAGCGCAAUGAGGAGUGAGGAGGACUCGGUACUGGGGCCCUGAUAUCACGAGCGGGGGCUUUGCCAAAUGCGCUCUCAUAGUUAUCCAAACCGCACCAGGGUACUGGAAACCUGGUCAGCAUGCUAGCUUCACUUAAUCGGAUCUGGCUGGAUGGAUAACAUUAGAGUCAGUCAGCCAGUCAGUCAGUCUGGUCAACACUAGAUGACGAUGCUGCUGCAGAUGAUGUUAGUUGAAUCUCUGUGUGUCAGUCACUUAUCUGCUGCCAGUGGGUUAGGCACCGCAGCAGCAGCAGCAGCAGCACAUCGCAUCAGACCCCUGUGUCUUCGCCGGCACCCUGAGGUGGACUGAGGGAGCAGGUUGAACUCUGGGCUGUUUUUGCAAGCUGGGUGAUGGUCUGGCUAAGAAUGGGUUUUGAUGACCAAUUGAUCACUACUUGCCACAAAAAGCCACCAGUUGUGCUCCAUUCUUAGCGACUCCUGAGGGUCCCACUGGCGUAUGAUUGUGGGCGAGUGCAUGAAUGCUUGUGUUAUAACGCCAUGGCUGCAGGUAUUGCACUUGAAGCGCAAAAAGGGUUGGUGUGCUUCGACAUCUCCUGGUGGUUGUAUUUUCCAUUUGGUUCUGGCUUCUGAGGCUGUUGGUGGAGACCACCUUCCUGUUGUGCAGGGAGUUGGGACUUUUGGGGGCCUAUUCAUGAAUCACUGCUGUUUGGCCUUUUUCAGAGAGGAUUAGGCAAUGGACAGAGUCCCCCUCCCACAAGCACACACACACACACUUGUGCAAUAGGAAACAGCUGCUCCUGAAUCUUAAUCUGUCCAUGAGAAUACCUCUUCUUUGCCUUUUAGGUCCAAAUUCAGAGUGAGUGCACAUACUGUUUUAAGAAUUCAUGUGGACAUGCCUGCAUGCUCCAUCCAGAUGGCCAAACCUUUCAGACCUGGUGUUGCUUAAAGCUGGACUUUAGGUUGACUAUAGUUUUGCCUACAUGCAUGUGAAGAAUUCUGCACUUCUACAAUGCGGCGAGUUGAUGCUGCUUACAAAGAACUGGUAGCUCUGGGGCUGUACACAUUUGAUUCUCCACUGGUUCAACAUGCAAACCCAUGCCCCCUUGUUUUGUGGCUGCAUGUUUCCUAAGAAUAUAUCAGUUGAUCACUUGCUAUGGUUCUCAAUGCAUGCUUUCUUUUGCUUGCUGUCUUUGCAAGCUAUUAUCACUAUAUAUAUAUAUAUAUACAUACACAUCUCCAUAUCCAUACACACACAUUUUCUAGUUGAAUUAUGUGUUGUUGAACAUGGAAAUAGGUAGAGUAAACUGCAGUAUAUCUCUUCCAGAGAUAAUUUGUGUAAACUCUAGUUCUUACAUUAAAUGAUAAAGUAGAAAUAAAACAAUUCUUGGGGCAAUAAAAAGAUUUAAUCAUGUCUAAGUUAUCUCUUUAUUUUUUGUCUCUCAUUUAAGGUCCAUACUAAACAAUAAAAAUUUCUUAAGAAAUUAUGAUAUAUAUUUUUUCAAGUUUAAGGAAUUUUUGUAAUAUUUCUAAAGGCCAAGGUUUCCAAAUAACAACUUUAAUUUUGCCAAACUAGGGAUUUUAAUUAGAUUGUUUAGACUGCUACCAUUCAAAGUGGAAUUUUAAAUAUAAAGACCAAACAAAUGAUUGUUGUUCCAACAAGGAUUUUGAUCAAUUUUUCUAAAUAUUUAAAUAUAUUUUUUGUUCCAACUUUUAUACUAUAUGUAUACGAUUUAUACAUUAAAAAUCAACAAUUUAUGGGUUACUAAAAUUGCAGGUUAAAAUUAGUAAGUUAAUAUCUUAUAUUUAAAUGAAACAUGAUUACAAAAGAAUUCAUUGUUUUUAUCUUUAUUGAAGUUAUAGAAGAGGAGUUUUCAUAAGUUGUGAAAAUAUGACAUGUGAAUAUGUGCAACCAGAUAGUUUGUGUGUAAUAUGUAUGCAUGUGCAUAUAUACUUCUUUUAUGAUUGCACAUUUUCAAAAAAUAUUUUUUGAAUCUUUAUCCAUGUUUCUGUGCACUAAAAACAUUAAGUUUAUUCUAGCUAUGUUGAUAUGCAAAGUUGCAAAUUGUCAAGUAGUCAAUUGACUUGAAAAAUUAAUGGGCAAUUACAGGAUUAUUAUAUAACAAAUGAAUAAAGGUGAUAGUUGGGCAGAAUAACGAUGAAAAGAAAUUGGUCCCUCUUCCUGAAUGCUUCAAAACCCAGAUAACAUGUACAAAAUUUCUUCUUAUAUUAUGAUUAUUACUGAAACGUUUGUUUUUAUAUUCAGUUUGUUCUUGGAAUGCUUGCUUAUGUCACAUUGGAAAUGACAUAUCAACUCCUUCAAAAGCACGUUUCAUUUCCAAUUAACACUAUGUUGAAGGCCCUGCAUGUGGGCAAAUGGAGGAACCCAAAGACUUGGCUAAAACUCCAGCGAUCUCUUCAGACUGAACAGCAGGUGGGGGCAGAGAACUGUACACUCUGGUUACAAUGGUCACGCGAGAAUCAGGAGAGAGAAUCUUCUCAACGAUUGAUCUGCUCAAAUGUGACUCUUAGCGCUGCGCAAAAAUCUCCAAACCUCAGCCGUGAAAGGGCAGAAUCAGAGGAAACUGUCGAGGUUCCAUUUUGUUGGGAAGAGGAAGCAGGAAUUAGUAAGCAGGGAGCUUCGAAUUAUACACAGUUGGCUUCAGUCUCCGGUGAUCACAAAAGUUAUCUAGACUUGUCUCUGCUAUAUUCCCCACGUCAUCCACCUGGAUGCCCAUGUUGCGCAUUUUGAGAGUAUCGCGGGUGGUGGGAGAUUGCCAUGGAGCGUCCCACCAGGCAAACGGGAGGAGAGGAGUUCUGGCGCACUGCGAAGCUUGAUUCUUGCAAGCCAGCUUUCCACCGAACGUCCUCCACGCGUGACCCCAACCGGACUGCUUCAUCAAGCCUUGAGCCAGCAAAUCUCGUUGAAAACUGCUGUAAAGUAAGCAAGGGGGUGGGCUGUCCUCACUGUCUGAAAGAGUUGUAGCUGCAGCCAGAGCACCCACAAGCUGCGCGUAUGUCGUGCAAAUCCUCUCGCUGGCGCCGGAGAUGACGGCCACUCUUGCACGAGCAGCUAAGAAAAAGUCUACCAGGGACACCCAGCGGGGCAUCUCUCCCCAGUCCCGCAUUUUGCUUCGGGGAGGCUGGCCGUAAUGUAAGCUCAUCACCUCGCUCAAGUUUUUAAACUUGUUUAAGUAUUCCUUGUAAUCGAAACGAAUCAGUUCUGUAUUGUCCUGUAAUUGUUCAUUGAUAUCGCUAAACACUUCUGGAGUAUCUGAAAUGAUCACCACGCGUUGCUUGCCCCUGCCAUGAAUAAGCACAGGUUUGAAGAGAUAAGUGCUCAAGAUUCUGGCAGCAAAGAAUUUGCAGUCCCAAUAUCAUUUCUAAAGAACAUGUCAUAAUGCGGUAAUACUCCACCACUUGUAUUAUCCUACAAAUGUCUCUAUCCCAUCAUUAAUCACAUGAAUGGACGAUAUCCUCAACAUGCAACAACAAAAGUGAAGACCAUGUAUACCUAGAAGUUUGUUGCAUUGCCUGUGCGAUAUGGGCAAGGCAACGUGAAGCAGCCAUUGGUGCAUCUAGACUCCGGUUAUGGCGCAAGCGCAGGUGGACGGCGAAGUCUGGCUCGGCCCCUCCCUUCAAUGCCCACUCCACAGCUGCUUGGAUAUCGCGAGUAGGAGUUAUAAAGGCUCGAAGAAGCUCUCCGAAAGUAUUUGGCCGUGAGCUCGGAUACGCGGGAUGACCAAGGACCAUGGCAGCCGCAGACCUCACGGCUGCAUUUCUGUUUUUCAGUAAGAACUGCAAACCAACUGUGUCUACUGUGCCCUUGAACCAUAGCACAGUGUCUGGUAUGGUUGUCCAGUCAUCGCAUAGCGAGUUCGAUCGUCCGGGUCCAUGCUCAAUGUCAUCGACACGCAUUGUCAUGCGGCGGUUGUGCUUUCCAGCGCAAUCGUGUACAGCCCACAGGUGUUUCACUUCUUGCAUACUAAAAAAUUGGUUGGAGUAUACUAUAUAGUCUCCAAAGGGAAGGACAAUGUUCCGGGGAUCACCAAUGUAGGAUGGAGUAUUCGCUCCACGCUCACCUUCAGGAACAACAUUUCAAUACAGUACCCUAAGUGCAAAGCUAUGAAGAUGUCCUGUACAUGAGCUUGAAGAACACUUAACUGUUCGAAAUUGAUUGAGUUCAUUGCCUAUUUUUCAAUUUUAAAAGAGUCCGUGAGAAUUAUCACUAAAGCUAAGGAUGAAAAAAGAAGAAGAAAACACGAAACUUAAAUUGUCAACGUACCUAUUAUGAGCGAACGAUUGAGCAUGAGGGCAAGGCCUGCGCCACUCAGAACUUUGUACAUAUUAUUACCAAAACCAUCUUCAGAAGCAAGUCCCAUUACAAACUUGCGCUCACAGAAUUCCAAUCCAGGGAGGUUGCGAAUCGUUUCCGCUCCAUGAUCAAGCAUCCACGUUUUGAUCAUGUCACGUAAUCGAAGGCUUGCAGCCCUUGUGUCGCCAACAGCUACAGAUCCCAUCUCCUCAACUGUACCACAUUGCUUUGGAGGUUCCCAGCACUUUGAGAAUACUCUGGGAACUUCGGAGCGUGAGAUAAAAGAGGAAUCAUCCUUCUCACAGCCAAUAACCUCUUCUUCGGUGGCUGAUUUACCUGGCAUAUCCAGAGGCUCAAUCUCAGAAGAAGAGAUCCAUGGCCCCAAAAAUCCUAGUAGCUUUUGACCGAUGGUAGGAGAUGUCGAAGAGCUAGAGAACACAUUCUUGUUCACACCCUGAGAUUUCUUAGAAAGCAGAUGGGGAGCUGCGUUGGCUCCCAUUUCGGACUCAAACGUUUCUGUCAUUUGAAUACUUUGAACUUUCUCCUCUUGGUUUCUCUUCUCCAAGUCCUGCUCUUGAAGAACAUUUGAACGCAAACUAGACCAUUGCCCCUUUGCUCUUGCGAGGUCAUCCAUCUGAAGAGCCCCAUUUCCUACACCUACAUUCCCAUCGCUAGAUAGUUCGUAAAUUGUUAGCAACACGCUGAUGCAUAUCAUACAGAGACCGAGAAGCUGAAAACCUAAAGAAUAGUUGCUGUAGAUGCGGCGGUGCUCCCUAAUCUGCUUGGAAUUACUUCUUCGUAAGAUUGGGGGCGGCAUGUUGGAAAUGUAAAUGAGGUUCUUGAUAAUGAGCUCAAUGUGCCUGUAGACUAAAUUCUUGCAAAGUCUAGAAGGUCUUCGUGGAUCUGGCGGGAGGUAGGAUCAAGAAAGAGUCGUGACUCACAGUACAAUCAGCCAUUCUUAAACUGGGAGCCCAGUACUACGCCAUUAACUUGACAAUUGUUUACGCCUGCAUACACAGACAUAGAUUAGUGGCAGUCUAAAAGCAAUGCAGACAUUAACGAGAUGAAUCAGAUAAAAUUCGAAGAGGGGAAAGCUCAAUCCAAGUUCAGGAGAUGGUUAAUGUUCGAGGGUUUGUGGAAAGACAUUCGCAAUAGGAUUUAAUAGAAAAUAGCUGCUAAUAAAGGAUUGGUAAGAAAAUUCUGAUGCCAGUGAAGACUCGAACAGAAGGUUUGUUUCAGAAACUAGCUGCUUGAACACCGGGAGUCUUUGCCACCAGAUGGUAGAGUAUUCCGAUGCGAAGAAAGAAGAGAGAAAUAAAACAGAGAAGGGGUGGUAGAAAGAAAGAAAAAAAGAAGAAAUUAAGGGAAACAAGAAAAAGAAAGAAAGAAAGAAAAAAAAAAUGGAGACCGCGGUUUUGAAUUCUUCAACUCGUACUGCGAGCUUACUAAUCAUUCAUUAGAAUUGAGCUAUUCCUAAGAAACGCAAGGACUGCAAAACGGAAAACCGACAACACACGGCUAGGGGAGUGUGUAUGAAAAAAGGCAAAACACUUAGCGCACCAACCCCAACCAACUCUACAACUCACCUCAACAACCACGACUACCCACUUCACUGGAAAACGAAAAACACAAACUGCGUCACCAUCACCACCUUGAGCCUUCCAUUCCAUGUGCAACUUCAGUUGUGAAUCAACACUCAGUACUCACCCAAAUCCCUUUCGCGUUUUGCCAAGUAGACAGCAAAAUGUGAGACGACGACUCCACUGUGGGGUCGGAUCUAAUGUGGGCAUGGCAUCAGUGGAGAGUUCGGCCACCACGGAACAAGCAACACCAGCACCAGCACCAGCAGGAGCCCCAGGCAUAGCCAGUAAGUAGACCCCCAACAAAAGUGCCACAAUCCCUCGUCCUCAUUCAGAGCUGACGGUCUCGCUACAAUGCAACAAAACCCCCACUUCUCCCACUUCUGCUAAUGAAAGGGACCCAAUAAUGCUGGUGCCAAUAAUCCCCCACCUCCUCCUCCUUAGUAUGGGGCUUGCCCUAACACUGGGAGCUUUACCCAAUACUCCACACACCCUCUCGUUUCCCUUUAAUUGGUGUGUGGUUUUGGGUCCCACGUUUUUUCUUUUCGUUUUGAAUGUUCGGAUCAACUUUAUGAAGAAAGUAGAUCCUUUGCUUGUUGAACAUGGUAAUAGUUCUUGUGAACUCCACCCAGUUUUUGUGGACUUUAACGUGAAUUUUACCCAAUUUUUACUUCGUUAUCAUUGUGGAGACGUUUUUCACUUUGGAAUUUGGAGGUGUCUUUCAUGAAGUUCGUAUGAUGUCUACUUGUUACACCCUUGUUUAGCCAACGAUUCUUUUGAAUUCACAUAAUAUUUUAAUUAAUGAAUUCAGAAUACAGUGUUUUAUUUUAAAUUGAUGUUUAAAAUAUUUAUUUUAUUUUAUUUAGAUUGAUGCAUAAGUUUUUUAAAAAUAAUAAUAGUGCUAAAUUUUGAUUUUUGACAAAAAAAUAUAGAUUUUUAAUCUCUAUUGGGAUUUUUUAAAUGUACAUUAGAAAAUAAAUAUAAGAUUCAUUUAUAGAAUAAAAUUACAAUUGAUCAAAACCACAAAAGAACAACUAAAUUAUUUUAUAAAUAGAAUUUAGAAUUUAGAAUUUAGAAUUUUAAAAGUUCUAAUCAUAAAUAUUUUUAUUAGCCCACAACCUCCUUGCAUCAAAGACGACAUUUUAAAGUUGUAGAUUACCUAUAGAGUUUAAGAAUUUAAAUUAAUGAUAAAAGAUGACGUUUUUCUUUUUCUUGUUGUUUUUUCUUUGUUUUUUCUAAUCAGUCAAAAAAAAUACAAGGAAUUCUAAAUUUUACUUAGCUUGAAUUAGUUUAUUAAAUACUUUGUGUAUUUUUUAAAAUAUUUAUAAUAAUUUAAAAAAAGAAAAAGCACAACUAUAACAUGUUUAUGGUUUUUAUAUUUAAUAUACAAAUAUAAUAUAGUAGAUAUAUAUUCUAACUCUAAAAAUAAUUUUGUUAAAUUUUAUGAAUAUAAAAAACAAAAAUAACAAACUUAUAAAUAUUUAUAUUUACUAGAACAUUUAUGUAAUAAAUAAAUUAAAAAAAUUACUUAAGAUUUUAAAGACAUGUUUUUGAAUCAUUUACAUUCUAUUUUUUAAUAAAACUAUUAUAAUGAAAUUCUCUUUAUUAAAUUGAAUCUAUAAUGUAUUAUAAGUAGAAUAUCUUAUUUGGUAAAAAAAAUUUACAAUUUCAAUUUAUAAUUUUUAUUAAAAUUUCUUUUAUUGAAGAAAUUGAUACAUUUUUAUUUUUUUUAAAGAAAUAAAAAAUAAGAGAUAAAAAAGAUAAUAUAUUAUAAAUAUAUUUUGGCAUAUUGUAAUCCAAUAAUAUCACCAUAUACAAACAUCUACCUAUGUUAUUAUUAUUGUUAUUAAUUUAUCUUGUUGUAAAGUAUAAAAGAAUCUUAAAAUUAUAAAUGCUAAUCUUAAAACAAAAUUAUAAAAUUUAUACUUAUAUGUGGCACAAUUCUAUAACUAUUAUAAAUAAAAUUGAAGUCUUUCAAAUUUUACAAAUUUUUUUAUUAUAUUUAAUAAAUAAUAAAUUAAUAUCACCAGGUUGCAUUAUCAAGUUAAGAUUCUUUUUAUAAAUCUUUUAAGUAUCAAAAUAUUAUAUAAUAUAAUGUAGAUUUAAUAUGGAACAAUUUAUGAAAUUAAUUUUUAGACAAGUAGAGGUAGUAGGAUUGUAAACAAAGUCAAGUUUAGUAGAGAAAGUAUCAUUAAUUAAAAUAUCUUGGUUGAAUAAAACAAAAAAAAAGAGUUUGAAAAUCAUUUUUAUUAAGUGGAUAGAAAGAAGUAUUACAAAUAGAGGUUUGAGUAAGUUGUAGCUUACCGUAUUUUUAAAAAAAAUUUAGUUGUUAUUUUUUUAUUUAACUUUUGGAAUAGAAAAAUAAUAGAUGUAUUAAAAUGACUCAACAAUAUGAUGCAUAAAAUUCUCGUAGAAUAUAAUUUUUUCUUAUUAUUAGAAUGGUUUAAUUAUAUGCCAAAGUGUUUGAAUUCAGAUAUUCUAGGAUAGACGUCAAUUACGGUUUUAGGAAUAUGAUUUAGGUUUUUAAGAUGAAUUAGAAUUAAAAAUUAAAUUUAAUCUUAAUAAUAUUUGAAUUCUUAUAAUAGAUUAGAAGUAGAUUAUUAGAAUAUAUAUAAGGAUUAAGUGAAAGUUAUUUGAUUAUUUAAUCUUAAAUGUUUAGUCUUUGGAUUUCAAGUUUAGCUUAUUAAAUUUAAAAUACAUACAUGGUGCAACAAUAUAAAAAAGUAUGCAAUAAAUAUUUUAUAAUACAUAAUAAAUAAGAUGUGCAAUUGUAGAUGUGUAAUAGUAGAAAAAAUUAAAGGAACAAAUGUGUCAAAGACAUGAAUUUCAAGAAACUAAAAAGAUCAAUAAAUUCUUAUGUCACUCAAAUAGACUAAAAACUCACUAAAAGAUGGUAUAAUAUUAAACUAGAAUGGCUAUUUUUAAAUAUAAGAUGACUAUAAAAUCUUGAAACAAGAUUAAGAACUAAAAAAAUAUUGACAAGAAUAAAAAAUGCUUCACUCUUGCCUCUAUGUAUACUAUCUAAUUAGGAGUUAAAUGGCAAUAUUCAAUAGGACGUCCAACACAUGUUUAAUUUCCUAGACAUAUGUUUUAACUUACAAGCUAAGUUUUUUUUACAUCCUUGCCAUAUUAUUUGCUUGUAUCUUAAGCUACUCAUAUGUGCAAAAUAUGGCUAAUUUAUUGGUAAAGUUUCUAACCUAAUAAUUAAUUAUAAUCAUGUAUAAAAUAAACUACACAUUUAUGAAGCUUGUAGAAAACUUUGCUAUAAGAUAAUAUCAAAUCUACUUAUAUUUAUCUCCCAUCUAGCACUUUUUAUCUAAAAAAAUAUGAAUGUCUAUGAUAAUAUAUAUAUAUAUAUAUAUAUAUAUAUAUAUAUAUAUAUAUAUUAUUUCAGGAUAAUUUUUAGAAAGAGUGGUCAUCAUAUGUUGAGGAAGUCGAAGAUGCGACAAAUUAAGUUUGCCACAUAAUUUGAUCUUUAUUCCUUUUGAAAGUGGUUGAUAGGUCCUCUCACCCAUUGAUGGUGUUCUAUAUCAAAGCAAUAAGACCAUCUUAUUACUUGAUCAUUGUUGAGGCUUUUGUAACUUACUUCAAAUAAAAUAUUUGAAACACUAUCAAGAAUCAUUCAUAUCUCUAAUAAAAUCACCAAAUAUUGAGAAUCUCUUCCAAAAUUAUGAUAUCAAAUACAUUAUAUCUUACCAUUUAUUCAAGAAAUAAUAUGUCAUUUUUAAGGAUCUUCAUCUCUAUUACAUUAUCUUGAAGGUUUUGACAAUUGCAAUAUCUCAUUUGAUAAAUCAACAAAUAAUAGCUCUUAAGUUGAAUUUUCUUACUAUUGAUUUUCUAUCUCUUAAGUGCCACUAAUAUAUAAAAACUACAAACAAGGAUAGAAAAUAAAAUGUAAUCUUUCUUGGAUCUUGUUUCUUUUAUAGCAAAGAUUUGCUAUUCUUCAUCUUGAUUUUGAAGGAUGUCAUAGAUAAAAACAUCAACUUUUUUUAUUGUAUUUGUAAGAUUCUUUGCAAUUUUCCAUGUGUACUUAUUAAUAUCAUAUUUAUGCUAAUGAAUAAGUUAUUAUAAUCUAUUUUGGCACUGCCUUGAAUCUAAAACUUCUUCAAGCUCAUAUUUUUUAUUAUUGUCCACUUCUAUAUGAAAAAGUAGCAUUUGCCUUCUUCUCAAGUUAUUCAUUAACUUAUAUGGUUUAAAAAGAGAUAUGUGAAAUAUAUGAUGGAUCUUCAUAGACUAUAAUAGAUAUAAUUGAUAAGCAAUUGAAUUAAUUUAUUCAUACAUAAGAAAUAAUCUAAGCCUAUGAUAAUUCAACUUAUCACAAGGACAAGUAGUCUUAAUAUUGCAACAAAAUAACCAUACCUUGUUGCCAACAUGGAAUUGAAAUUUCUUUUAAAAUAUGAAUUUGUAUUGAUCUUUUGUCAUUCUUAAGCUUCUCUUAAUUAUGCCUUUAUUAUUGUAUGUAGCUCAGAUAAAUAAUUUGCCAAAUCUUUUGUUGUAGGAUUAUCAACUUCUAAGAAGUCAAAAAUAUCAAGUUGUAGAUAAUAAUCAUAAUUAAUAAAGAAAGAUAUUUAUUACAUAAAAAAUAUACUAUGUUAUUAUAAGCAAACUUUAUCAAUAAUAAAAAAAAUUUCAAUCAUCUUAUUGAUAGUUUAUGAUAUAUCUCAAAUAUUGCUUCAAAACUUGAUUUAUGUACUUUAUUUGUCUAUUGAUUUGAUGAUGAAGAUCAUUUUAUUUUUAUUUUUAAAAACUUAAAAAAAAUUCUCUAAAAUCUUGAUAUAAAUUAAAUUCUCCUAUUUAAUAUUAUAUCCUUGGACAAUCCAUGAUAGUGAUAGAUAUUAUUAACAAAAACUUAGAUGUUUCUUUACUUGUGAUAGAUUUUGUACAUGAUAUAAAGUAUAUAAUUUUCGUGAAAUAAUCUAUUAUCACAAAUAUAGAAUCAGAAGAAUUCAAGACUAGAAGAUCUAUAAUAAAAUCUAUAGAAAUAAAAGACCAUGAUUGUUUUGAAAUAUAUAAUAGCUGAAAAAGCCCAUAAAGUUUGACAAGGAAUUUUUGACCUUGAAAAAACAUCACAUGAUUGUAUAAAGUCUUUGUCUGCCUUUUAUAUAUGAGGCCACUAAUUGUUUUUAGAUAUUAGCUCCAAAGUCUUAUAGUAUCCAAAAUCUCUAGUUGUUGAAAAGUCGUGAGAAGGUUGAAGAAUACUUAAUGGUGUUUUACCUUCUAGAAUAUAUUAUUAUUCCUUGAAAUAGAGUAGAUUUUUCUUGAAUUUAAACUUUGAGGUAUAAUAAAACUUAGAAAAAUUAUUUUUAAUAUCAUGAAUAAGAAGAUAAAAAAAAAACUUAAUUGAAUUUGCUUGAAAAAAGUUGAAUCAAGAGUUCAUAUUGAUUUUAUUGCUUGAAGUUAAAAAUGCUUUGAUUUCAAGAAAAUUAUUCUUUGUUGAUAAAAAAAUAUUACAUCUCUUUCUUUUAGGCAUAAGAUAAAAACAUCUAGAAAAAGAAUUUAAUAAUUUUUAUUUUAGGAUCAAUAAAUAAUCUUGAAAUCAAAUCUUGAUAAAGACAUGCUCCAAUAAAUUUGGUAAUGAUUCAAAAUAUAUGCUAACAUAAAAUAUUUGAAGUUCUUGUGAUUCAUAUAUACAAUAACUAGAUUAAAAGUAUCUUUUAGAUAAUAAUUUCAUUCUUGAAACGAAUCUACAAUUACAUGAAGCUCUUUGUUGCGGAUCUCGUAGUUGAUCUUGACUGUUGAAAAUUUCUUGGAAUAAAAAGCUAUUAGGUAGAACUUAUUAUUUGCUACCAUUUGUAACAUCACAUCCAUGGCAAAUUUUGAUGCAUAUGUUUGCAUAAAAAAUGCCUUAACAAAGUUGACAUGAUAUGGGAUUGGUGCAAAAAUUAAUACUAUCUUCAAGGCUUCAAAAGUUGUUCCAAUUUCUUUGCUCUAUUCAAGUUUAUCUUUAUAAAUCAAAUGUAUAAGAAGAGCUACAACUAAAAAAAAUUCUUAAUGAAGGUUUGAUAAUAAUUGCCAAUUUCAAAAAAUAUUACAUAUUUUUUUAUUAUUUUUGGAGUUUUUUAAUUGAUGAUAAUCUAGAUCUUCUUAGGAUCCAUCAUAAGGCCAUUGUUUGAAAUGAUGUAUCCUAAGAAGUCAACUUAAGUAGUAUAAAUUACACACUUUUCCAUCUUAGCAUAUAAUCUUAUAUCUUUUAAUUUUUGUAAUAUAUGACAAAUAUGAAAUUCAUACUCUUUUAUAUUUUUAAAGUAGAUUAAUAUACUGUUUAAAUAAAAAAUAAUAAAGUCAUUAAGAAACUCACAAAAGAUACCAUUCAUUAAAUGUUGAAAAGUAGUUGGUGCAUUUGUGAGUCUAAAAAAUAUAAUAUUGUAAUUAAAAUAUUUAUACUUAGUUCAAAACAUAGUUUUUUAUUUACUUCUAUAAUAUUAUAUAUAUAUAUAUAUAUAUAUAUAUAUAUAUAUAUAUAUAUAUUAGCUACCUUAAAUUAUAAUAGUAUUGUGAGUCAUUAUAUUGACCUAGUAGUUUUUUUAGGAUAAAAAUAUGCAUUCAGAGUACUUAAAACCAUAAUAUAUGGUGAAUAGUAUAAAAAUCUUUAGAAAAAUAGAAAAUUAGAAUGUUGAUUGUAAAAAUAGAAUCUUAAUAAGUUUUAGAGGUAAUUAUCUUAGUUGAUUUAGUAUUUUUUUAUUUAUUAUUAAAUAUUUAGAAUUAUUUAUUAAGAUCAAUAUUUAUAUUAACCUUCUAUCUAUAUGUAUUACUUAUAAAAAAUUAUAAAUGUUAGUUAAUAGCUAAAAAAAACAUGAAAAAGAACCUCAUGUCUUUUUAAUUAUUUAUAUAGAAAAUAGGAUUUACAAUAGAUUUAAAUUGGUUUUGUUAUUAUAAAAAAUUAUCAAGGUAGACAAAUAUAGCUUAAAAUUAAUAUUAAUAUUAUAAAUUUAUAAGAAUGUUUAAAAUUUAUUUAGAAUUUAUUUAGAAUUAUUUAGGAUUUCUUAGAGCAAUUUCUAAGACUUUGGUAAAAAUGAGUUUUAUCACUUUAGAAGCCAUUAUGAAGAAAUAGAGCAAGAUUUGAAGGCCAUAUAGGUUUCUAGGCUAAUUAAGUGUUUUUAAACACCAUGGUGAAGUCAAAAAUGAAAAAAUAUUAGUUCUACUAGUAGAAAAUAGGAUGACCAAUAGUUAGUAUAGUCCUUGUAAGAAAAGAGGUGCACAAGUGUGACGGACAUACGCAUAUAAGUCAGUAAUUACAUGUAUAAAUAUGUAGAAAUAAGUAAAAGUAGAUAAAAGUAACUUAAUUCUAUAGUAUUUGGUAUGGAAGCUUUUUAGAAGCUUCAUAGACGUUGCUUUGACUUCAUAGGUGUCUUUAAUUGACUUUUUGGGAUUAGAAAUGUGGUCAACAAGUUGGCCAUGUGCCACAUAUGUUGUUAGCUUGAAGACUAAGCUAACUAUGUGGUCCGCACGUAGAAAAACUUACCUUGUAAGUCAAGGCAUGUGUCCUAUAAAGUCAACACAUAUUGGAGGUCGUAUAGAAUGUCGCCAUGUAGCUUUUAGUAAGAUAGUAUAUAUAGAGACAAGAGUAAAGCCUUCUUCAUUCUUAUCAACUCCUUUCUUGCUUCCAAUCUAGUUUCAAGGGUCUCUAAUUUUCUUGGCUUUUGGCAAUAGCCAUUCUAGUUUCUUUCUUAAUAUAUAUAUCAAGUUAUUUCUAUUUUUCAUCUUUCUUUGAGAGAAGUCUCAAUUUUUUAUUUUUUUUAUCAUGUUCUUAUUGUUGACAGAUUGAAAAGAAUACACUUAUAAUAUCAGAGCUUUAUUUAAUCUUGAUUAAGAGUGGAUUACCCCUUUUUUCUUGAUAAGACAUAAGCAUAUUAGAAGUUGCAGAUUAUCCUCUUCUAAACUGAUAUUGUCCUUAGUAUUUUCUUUGUUCCGAAGUCCUCUCUUCUAUUUGUCUUGAGUGAUAUUAGAUAUCUUUUCUUUUCUAAGUAUUAUCAUGGCAGAACUUGCUGAAAUAAAGAGUACAAUGGUACAAAUGCAAGAGCAAUUAAGGGAGUUAAUCCUUACAAUACAUCAAUUCAAUUUAACACUACAAGGAGCAACAAGAUUGGCAGGAAGUGAAGAUAUAGAAAUGAUUGGAGUUGCUUCAAUAUGUGCACCAAAUGAUGUCUCUUCUUAUAUGGUGGAAUGUCCUUCAAGUGUUAGAGAACCAAGAAUUGCCCUACCCGAGAAGUUUGAUGGUACCAGAUCAAAGUUUAGAAGAUUUAUCAAUCAAAUACAACUUGUGAUUGAACUUCAACCCCAAAGCUAUCCAACUCCAAGAUCGCAAGUUAGAUUCAUUGGUAUGCUUCUUUUAGAUUCAGCAUUAUCAUGAUUUUCAUCUUUUCUUGAAUGACGAGAUCCAAUAUUGGAUAAUCUAGAGCCUUUUUUGACGGAGUUUUGAUCCAUGUAUGGAGAAUAUGAUGCAAUUCAUUUUGCAACCAAUAAGAUCCACAUUUUACGAUAAGGCAAUCGAUCAGUAACGUUGUAUGCUUCACAAUUUUGACAACUUAUAACUGAUAUCAAGUGGAAUAAUGCUAUAUUUAUUAGCCAAUUUUUCUACGGAUUAUAAUAUGAGGUAAAAAAAUUAAUGCUCAACUUACUUGAUCCUCAAACAUUGAGUCAAGCAAUUGAUUUUGCUAUGAAGUGUGACAAUCACCUUUUUGAAUUCUGAUUUAAGAAUCGUAUAAGUAAACCUCAAUAUUACUAUAAUUCAAUAGCAACACUAACAUCUCUUCAACACAUACAUUCAGAAGUAGAGGAUAUGCAAAUUGAUGCAGUAUGUUUUAAACCUCUUACUGAGCAAGAAAAGACUCAUUGUUGUCAAGAAGGAUUGUGCUUAUAUUGUGGAGAACCUAAGCACAUUGUUCAACAUUGUCCAAAGAAGCAAAUCAACCAUAAAAUGAGGAGUACAGCAAUCAAAGGAGAAAACAUGUCGGAAAACGAAUUUGUCCAACUACAAUAGGGACCGUGUAGCUGGAACCUUGUACAAUGCCUAAUGAAGGUCCUAUCUUCUCCUCAGAACCCUCUCUAUGUUUUACGACAAAUGUUAUUCUAGGAUCUAAACAUCUCAAAGCCUCUGUCUUGCUAGAUUCAAGAGCCUCAGUAUGUUUCUUAGAUGAAAAAUUUGCUAAAAGAUAUAACAUAUUUUUAAUAAAGAAAACUAAACCUAUUCAUAUAGAAGUCAUAGAUGGUUGUCCGUUGUCUUUAAGAGAUGUUACUCAUGAAACCCUUCCUAUAGAAAUAGCAACUAAUGGUCAUAGUAGCUUUGUAAUAUUUAAUAUCAUUAGAUCUUCUUUUAAUCUAGUCAUUUUAGGUUUAUCAUGGCUAGAAAAAUAUAACCCUAAAAUAGAUUAGACUUCUCGUAGUCUUGACUUUUUUGAAAGUAUAACUAAGAAUGUAGUUAAUCAAGUAGAAAGCCAUAAGUCUAGUAUAAUUAAACCUAUAUUUGUAGGUGCAAGUGCUUUCUUGCAUGCUACAAAAAAAUGAUCACCUUUUGUCAUUUAUGCCACAAUUGUUUCUAUUGGUGGAAAGACUUCAAGUGGCAUUCCAAGCCAAUAUCAAGAUUUUUAAGAUGUAUUUGAAAAAAAGAAUAUGGAUACUCUUCCAGAACAUCGUUCCUAUGAUUGCUCAAUUGACAUUCAAGAAGGAGCACAACCACCAUUUUGAUCAAUCUACAAUUUAUCUCAAAAUGAGUUGGUUGAAAUCAAAGAGUAUAUUGAAGAGAAUUUGGCUAAGAACUUUAUACACUAUUCCAAAUCUCUAGCAAGAGCUCCAAUUUUAUUUGUGAAGAAAAAAGAUGGAUCAUUGCGGAUGUGUGUUGAUUAUCGAGGACUCAACAAAAUCACUAUGAAAAAUAGAUAUCCGCUACCUUUGAUAUUUAGACUCCUUGAUUAGUUGAAUCAAGUUAAGAUCUAUACAAAAAUAGAUCUAUGGGGAGCAUACAAUUUGGUAUGCAUCAAAGAAGGAGAUGAAUGGAAGAUUGCGUUUCGAACAAGGUAUGGACAUUUUGAAUACAACAUCAUGCCCUUUGGACUUACAAAUGCAUCAGUAGCAUUCCAACAUGUAAUGAAUGAUGUCUUUUGGGAGUUCUUAGAUGAUUUUAUUGUUUGUUAUCUAGACGACAUCUUAAUCUAUUCUAAGAACUUAGAAGAACAUAAACUUCAUGUUCGCAAAGUAUUACAAAAACUAAGAGAUGUAGGACUCUAUGCCAAGAUAGAAAAGUGUGUAUUUCACACUAUUCAUGUCGACUUUUUAGGAUAUAUCAUUUCAAAUGAUGGACUUAUGAUGGAUCCUAAAAAAUUUUAAACUAUUAUAGAUUGGAAGAUCCCUAAAAUGAUAAGAGAUGUCUAAUGUUUUUUGGAAUUUGCUAACUACUAUCAGAUCUUUAUCAAAUUUUUUUCUUAAGUUGUAGCUCUACUUACAUGUUUGACUUGCAAAGACAAACUUCAAUGGAAUCUAAAAGCAAAAGUAGCAUUUGAAGCUUUGAAGACAGCCUUUGUUUCUACACCAAUUUUGUAUCGUGUUGAUUUUUUUAAGCUAUUUUUUAUGGAAACACUCACAUCAAACUUUGCUUUGGGUGCCGUAUUGUCACAAAUGGGAAUAGAUGAUAAACUUCACUCAAUAACUUUUCAUUCCAAAAAAUUUUCAGCAGUCGAGAUCAACUAUGAGAUCCACGAUAAAGAAUUUUUUAUAAUCGUGGAUUUAUUUCAAGAAUGGCACCAUUAUCUAAAAGGUGCUUUUAACCUAAUCACAUUGUAUACAGAUCACAAGAACCUUCAAUAUUUUAUGUCAGCACUUGUUUUGAAUCAUCGCCAAGCUCGUUGGAAUAUGUCUUUGUCAAGAUUUGAAUUCAAGAUCACUUAUCGACCAUGAAAAUAACAAGGUUUGUUAGAUGCACUCUCUAGACGAUCUUACCUUGCAUCAAAGGAGGGAGAUACUACUUUUGAUCAACAACAAAUAAUUCUCUUGAAGCCAGAGCAUCUUCAUCUUCGAGCAAUGAAAUCAACAUUAACUGUUGAUUCAACUUUCAUUAAGCAAGUUCAGUCAAAUAUGUCUUGUGAUCAUUUUAUUUGUGAUAUUUAGGAAAAUCUUUCAAAGUCUUAUGAUACUUCCAAGUUUAAAUUCAAGAAGAAUCUACUAUAUUUUGAGGGAUACCUAUAUAUUCCAGAAGGUGAAGCUCGAUUACAUGUUCUUCAAGCUCGUCAUGACUUUCCAGUAGCAGGACAUUUUGGGUACAAUAAAACUCUAGAAUUAAUAUCUAGGGAUUUUUGAUGGCUUCAAAUGUGGACAGCAGUCAAAGAUUUUGUAAAAUCAUGUGAUGUUUGCUCGAGAUGAAAAACUCCUUGUCAUCGACCUUAUGAACUUCUUCAGCCAUUAUCCAUUCCAGAACAACCAUGGUCUUCUAUUUCUAUAGAUUUCAUAACAGAUCUUCCAAUCUUAGGUUCUUAUGUCUCUAUAUUUGUGAUAGUAGAUCAUUUUACCAAGAUGGCACAUUUUGUACCAUGUACAAAAUCUAUCACAGGUGAAGAAACAGCUAAGCUCUUUCUUGAUAAUAUCUACCGCUAUCAUGGAUUAUCCAAGGAUAUUAUAUCAGAUAGGCGAACUCAAUUCGUAUCAAGAUUUUGGUGGACUCUUUUCAAGAUUUUAAAAGUAGAUAUAAAACUAUCUUUACUAUUCCAUCCUCAAACUGAUGGACAAAUAGAGCAUAUUAAUUAAGUUUUGGAGGUGUAUUUAAGAUGUACCAUUAACUACCAACAAGAUGAUUGGACAACUCUUUUGCCAUUGGUAGAAUUUGCUUACAAUAACACGAUACUUUCUUCUAUAAAACAAACACCUUUCUUUGCGAAUUAUGGUUAUCAUCCACGACUUAAUACUUUUGACUUUUCAAAAGUUGAUAAUCCUGCUGCGAAAGAUUUGGCGAUUCAUUUGUCAAAGCUACAUACAACGAUGAAGGCGUAGUUAAAAGAAGCUCAAGAACAACAAAAGGUCAAUGUGGAUGUCUAUCAAAAGGAACAACCACCAUUCUACUUGGGUGAUAAGAUAUGAUUACUUAAUUGUAAUAUCAAAACCACUCGUCCUUGUGACAAGUUGGACUAUCGAAGGCUUAGACCAUUUUUUAUUUCUGCAUAAAUCAAUUCAAUUGUAUAUCGUUUAUUCCUAUAAGAGUCAAUAAAAAUCCAUCGAGUAUUUCACGUGUCUCUUUUUGAACCAUACAAGAUAGUGGACAUAUCAAUAAGAAGACAAGCUCUACCUCCUCCUAUAAAAGUGGACAAUAAUAAAGAGUUUGAAGUGGAAGAAGUCUUAGAUUCAAGGUGAAGCCAAAAUAAAUUAGAAUAUCUUAUCCAUUGGUGCGGAUAUGGUAUUAAUAAACAUACAUGGGAGCUAGUAAAGAAUCUUGUAAAUGCAACAAAGGCGAUGGAGGCUUUUCAUCGACGAUAUCCAUUAUAAUCAAGAUAAAAACCUUCUUUAUAAAAGAACAAAAUGUAGGCAAGAUAAUAUUCUACUUUCAAUCUUUCUUUGUAGCUUCUUUGUAGUUGUGAUAUUCAGGAGAUGGAGAACCAAUAAUCAAUGGAUUUGACUCAAAAACCUUCAUUUAUUGACCUAUCAAAUGAAACAUUAUAAUUGUCACAACCUUCAAGACAACUCAAUUAAGAUGAAGAACUUUAAGAAUAACAUGUUCUUUCUCUAAUAGAUGGCGAGAUACAAUGCAUUUGGUAUCAUUAUCUUGGAAGGAACUCUCGAUGUUUGAUGAUUUUACUAGAGGUAGGAACAAUUCCUGAUCAUGUUUCAAAUAUUUUAUUCGAAGGAAGUUAUGAAGGCUUCAACAAUGAUCAAAUAACUAGGUGGUCUUCUCGCCCUGGUAUGGAACACUAUCGAUGGUUGAGAGGCCCUGUCAAUCAUCUUUGAAGAGAACAAAGAUCAGAGUAUGUGGCGAAUACAAUUUGUCGCAUCAUAGAUUUCCUCAACAUAUGAUUAUCGCUCCUCGUAGAACUCGUUCCUAGAAGGAGGGGGUAAUGUCACGAACAUUCGCAUGUAAGCCAAUAAUUACAUGUAUAAAUAAGUAGAAAUAAGUAAAAAUAGAUAAAAAUAAGUUAAUUCUAUAAUAUUUGAUAUUUAAGCUUCUUAGAAGCUUUAUAGAUGCUACUUUGACUUUAUGAAUAUCUUUAAUUGACUUUUUGGGAUUAGAAACGUAGUCAACAAGUUGGCCAUGUACCACACAUGUUGUUAGCUUAAAGACCAAGCUAAUUAUAUGGCCCACAUAUAGAAAAACUUACCUUAUAAGUCAAGGCGUGUGUCCUAUAAAGUCAACACAUAUUGGAGGUCGUAUAGAUCAUCGCCACAUAGCUCCUAGAAAGAUAGUAUAUAUAAAGACAAGUGUAAAGCCUUCUUCACUCUUGUCAACUCUUUUCUUGCUUUUAGUCUAGUUUCAAGGGUCUCUAGUUUUCUUGGCUUUUAGCAAUAGCCAUUCUAGUUUCUUUCUUAAUAUACAUAUAAAGUUAUUUCUAUUUUUUCAUCUUUCUUUGAGAGAAGUCUCACUUGUUUAUUUGUCUUUAUCAUGUUCUUAUCCUUGACAACAAGUUUUAUAUGAGUUGUAGUACCUUGAAGGUACUUAAGAGGAUAAGAUUAAGGCCUUGUAGCCUCUCUUAGAUACCCAUAUACACUACUUACGAGCCUUAAUGAGGCUCAAAUUCUUGAUCUUUUAAUCAAAUUAUCAUUGAGAUAAAAAUUAUUUACUUAAAUUUUUUUAAUUAUUUAUUUUUUAUUUUCAAACUUUCAUAAUUUAUUCAUAGUAACUCGGAUUUAUAUAUUUUUUAUACUAUUGAAAAGAAAAAAAAAUAUUGUUGAAAUACAUUUUUUUUACUUUUAUUUUUUAUUUUUUAUUAGGUGAAAAAUAAGUGAAUAGAUUGUGAUUAGUUUUGUAAAGUACAAUUGCUUGAUUGCACUUCUUUCACUUGUUUUUAUAUUGUGCUUCUUUUAUUUUUGUUCUUGCUACUUCUACUUCACACCACCAAUUAUAAGUAAUUUAUAAUUAAAGCCAUCUUGUAAUUUGGAUUGAGGAAUGAAUUUUACACUCAUAAGCAAUAACUUGAAAACCAUUCUUAAUAGAGAUCCUAUAGUAAUUGAUAAAAAUCAAAAAAAAUUUAUAUAAAUUUGAUUAUUUUUUUAGAUCUUUUAAUCCAUGAUUAUUUGGAUUUUUUUAGAAUCAUUCAUAAGACUAUCAUUUAAAAUAAUGUAUACUAAAAAGUCAACUUAAGUAGUGUAAAAUAUACUUUUUCAUCUUGAUAAUCCAUGGUCAACCACCAUUUGAACCAUUCUAUAGCUUAUGAGUUCAAAUGAAUUACCUCGUGUCAUCAGUUAAUCCCCUUCCAUUAAUAUAGAACAUCUUCGUUUUGUUCCCAAUGGUAUCUCCAAAUUGUUUCUUAACAAUAGAUGAAGUUUUGUGUAAGUUUCUACAUUGCAUUGUAAAUAGGAUAACCUUUCUAAAGAACUUUGUAUUGAAGUUGUGGAUAUCUACUACCAUGACAAAGAUAGUGAUGUUCCAAAAAGCUGUCCACUUCAUAUUCUUGUUGGUCAUUAACUACAACUAGUGGUAGUAGUAGUGGUUGGUGUCGAUCUGGAAAGCACUUUGGCUCAGAAUGAAAUUCUUUCAGUUGUAAAACAUAGAAGAUUGGAUGGAUACAAAUAUGUUGCAAAAGCUCAAGGCAAUACGCAACAUCAAAAAUCAUUGUAGAAAUGUGGAAAGAUCUAAGCCACUCAGGUGCUAGUUUACAGAUUUGGAUUAAUGUAGCAAGUGAUUGUAAUUGUCAUUUUACUUAUUCUACAACUUCCUUUCAAAAUAAACAUGCAUAGGGAAAUUUGAAUAUAGAAAAAGACUAAGUGCAUAGCUUUACUUGUUAGGGUCACACGAUUAACUAUAUUCGAAACCACUAAAAUACCAAAAAAUACUACACUGCUUCCUUCCAAGAACAAUACUCCUUCAUCAACUAAUAACAACAAUGUACUACCUUGCACUCUUAAAAGACUACUCAAAACUCAUAAAUUCCAUCCAACACUAGGAAUAACAGACUUUAAUCCAACUAAUCUGGAUUCACAAAUUUUUUGUAAUCACAAACUUUCUUUAUCUAAAACAUACACAACUUUCAAUAAACAACAAUCAUAAUCUUCCAUCCAUGAUCAAUCUUCCAAUAACUUCUCAUAUAAUUCAAUCACAUAAUACUCCAAUUACAUAAUCAAUAACUCAUAAAUCAAUCUCUGAUUUAUUCCACAGACUCACUUCUCAGUAUUCAAAAAUUAUCCAUUACUCUUCAACAAUAAAGAAAACAAAGAAAACAAAGAGGUAGCACCAAGCUUAACCCCGGCUCAUGACUAUCACAAUCUGCCUCCCAACAAACUUCUACAAUUUCUAUAUAAUUGCUACUGAUUUUUAGAUCCUAACCACAAUCCUGUAAUAAACUGCUUUUAAUAACUAAAUCAACCAUCCGUUCUCUUGAACUGACUAUUCUAUGGACUAUUAAUCUAUUAUACCAAUAUCUUAUAAAAAUGAACUAAUAUCUAUUCUACAUAGCUCUAUUCCUGUUUGUGCAGCGUCUUUGCAAAUACACAAUUGAUUCCUAUCUAAAAUCUAUUUAACAAAACUCUACAAAAUUACUAGUUCCUCUAGCCUACCCAAUUAAUCAUUUGCUGUAUUAUUGAAUGUAGGUUCCACCAAUUCUGGUUCUAAAUUUAAAAUUUUUCUCCUCCUUCAAUCUGUCCAUCGGCUCCUUCUUCAACUGGUUUGAUAGAUCUUCAUUAUACUCACCUAAUUCACACACUUGAGCCUGUAGUUUCAAGUUCCGGGCAUCCCAAAGUUCCAAUUGAUGCUGCUGCUGACUCAUCCAUUCUGGAACAUCUUCAAUUAAUACUUGUGACUGACUUCUCACUGUUAACUCUUCUGUCAAUUUUGCCACCUCAGCUUGUAAAAUUUUGAUUUCGGACCUCAACUUCUGUAUUUCGCACCUGGAUUGGUCACUCAAUGCCUCUUUCUCUUUCGUCAAUAACUCUGCCUUGUCUCUUUCUAUUUAAAACUAGCAUUUGAGUUUUUCCCAUUCUAAAUCCCAUGUCUUGCAAUUCUGGAUCAAUUUGUCCCAUUGUCCUUCCACAAUUCAUAAGAUGUGUUAUUUUUCUUUCGUCCAAGAUUCAUAUUGGUGAACCCAUUUUCGCUCCAAUACUAGCUUGGAUUCUCUAAUUUCUUUUAUUGUCCAUUCUUACUCUUCAAUUCUUCAAUUUUGCUCUAAUAUCACCUUCUUAUUGUCUUCUAAAUCUCGUCUGCUACUGCCCUCUACAUCCAAUGCACGCACCAUACAAUGUAUUUGUGAAAUGUGCUUCAAUAAAGCAUUCUUAAGAGGUAUUCUUUUGGGCAAUUGACCUUAUCAAAACGCUAACUAAUUAAUAUCCAUCAAAAUUGGGAUUUCAUUCUCCUCUUCUAUCGCUAAAAAAAUUGAAACCAGUUCUAAUUCAAUAACUGGAAUGACCCCUUGUGCCACUGUAUGACUUGACUCCCCAAUUUUGUGUAUUAUAUCCGCUGUAUUGACAUUCUGUGCCAACAAAUUUUGUUCUCUCUGUGGAGGCACUAACACUGGUACAUGAUUUUCCUCUACUAGUGGUGUUUGACGCAAUAUGUGUGCAAUCACAACAUACACAUAAUUUGAACAAAGUAAAUAAGUAAUUUUUUCUAAUUUCUACUUGGCUCCUAUCUCCGCAUGAAUACGAGUGGCUACAUAUGCUACCCAAUUGAAUACCAUCCCUUCCAGCGCCCCUACCGCUGUCGUGUUGUAACACGAGUAUACCGUGAAAAUAUAAAGAAAGGGGACUUUUAUUAAUGUUCAGGUACCUCGAAUAUUGGGAGCAAUGACCAACUCCAGUACAAAUACUGAGUGGCCAGGUUCAGUCACCCCGUUACAGUCAGCUGGGGUAUACUGAAAUGCUCCGGUGAUUCCAAUAACAGGAGUCAGUAGGAAGAGAAAGGACCAAUUCACACGACGGGUGAGCCUGGUUCGAAGAACCAAUUGGAUCCAAUUUCAAGAAUCCAAUCCGGAUCCUCUUACCCAAUAUGAGACCUGAAUUGGCCGGACAACCCAAUGCAGUCUAAUUACGGAAAAGUCUUACUACGGGCCUCAGCCAAUCUGACGCAAAGGACCAAUUUGAUCCAAUUAUGGGGACAUCCGGGUCUUACUACUGGACUCUUAGUCAAUAUGAGACCUGAAUUGGUCGGGCGACUCAAUGUAGUCCCGAUUACGGGGUUUCGAUUCUGUUUCAAGCUGUCCUGUUCUCUGUGCCGUUUCAGGGAAUGUUGUUUUCGGUAAAAAGAUCUCUUAAAGGUAAAAAUGAGGGAGAAAGCUCUGAUGGCGAGAGCCAAUUUCGGAUCCAAGCUCUGACGAUGGGAGCCAAUUCCGGAUCCAAGACGGAAGAUUGAAGAAAUUCAGAGGAUAAGGUUAAGGGAGAGAAUAAGUUUUUGGGGAGUUUUUUGAAGAAUCAGAGAGAGCUAGCUUCAUGCUUCGGGCGGGAAAAGAAGUCAGAGAUAUGGAUUUUUUUUCUUCAUAGGAUUUUAGGAAGACUGAGACAAUCGUUGUUGAAGUCAGUGUUGUAAUGGUGAAUCGGGAUUUUUAAUGAAGUGGGUUUGAUUACUCUUGACUGUUUUGUGAAAUCGAGUUAUGUCUGUGAUGAAGAAUUAAAAGGGUGUCUAUAGGAUUGAGUAUGCGGAGUGAAUGAAAUUUAUUGGGUUAAUCUAACAAGACAGUCAGUGGAUACAAGAUCGUGAGUAUAAAGCGGUAUCGAAGAUUAGUAGUUUGGGUUGAUCGGGGUUCUCUGUAACGUCUAAAGACCUACCGGCUGGGGCAAAAAGGACUUCGACAAGCAGUCGAAGGGCAUCCGUAUAGAUUUACGGUGUAUUCUUGCAGUUGUUUGUAUUCCAACAGUCAAAAACUGAUAAAUUGCUUGAGUAUUGGCGAAUCUCCAUACUACUUUCUACAGCCACACGUCUGGUACGUUCUCGAGCAGAAAAGCACGUAAUACGACAAAAGUGGCGAACCCGACGUGAAAGCUUGAGGUGGAAGGUAUUGGAUUUUGUUUGAUUUUAUUUUUAUUUUAUGGAAAAUAAAAAUAAAAAUUUUGAAGGAUUUUUGGGAGGAGUUUUUGGUGGAGAUUCUUCAAAAAGAACAAAGUAUGCACAUGGAUCCGUCUAUUGCUAGUAUGUUUCAAGCCUUCUCAUUAUCAAUGCAGCAACAGCAAAGUAAUGAUCGAAAGGAAGCUUUGGCAACCAAAGCAUUGCAAGGAGUGGUCAAUAAAAUUGAUCAAUUUGAUGGGAGGAAUAUUUCAAGGUAUUUAAGAUGUUAUGUUCGUGAAAUGGAAUUAAAUCGGGUUUCUGAGAAGAAAAUGGUUGCACUAUUUGGACUUGCCAUAAUACCGGAGAUAAGGGAUCACAUUACAUCGAUUACGGAUCGUUAUGGGAAUUUAUGGGAGGUUUUUUCACAUGCAUUGAAAGACGAAUAUUUCUUGAAAGAUGUUGAUCGCGUUACUAAGAAGCUGUUUCUGGAAUGGAUUGAAUGGCCCAAUAAGAAUUUGCAAGCAACAGAGCUACUAAGGGAAUUUAAGAGGCAGUACUCUCAAUUGUCGAAGGUAGAAAAAUUGACAUUGGAGCCGAACAAAGUUGAUCUAUUUCUUCAAGCUGCUGAUGGAGAAUUGCAAGGAAAAUUAGAACUCCUUCUUGAAGACAAAGAAGAAGAUGAAGGAUUGACAACGAAGUGGAAGAACAUUGAAGAUGCGAUGGGGUUGCUUACAAAAAAAGAAAGGAGGAAGGAUAGGAGCAAUAUUCCGAAAACAGUACAAGCACCUAAAGCUCCAGUACGUACAACACCACCAACAAUGCCUACAGUUCAACCUUCGACAUCCUUAUCAAAGAAAGCAGAUAUAGGGAUAGAAGAAAUUAUACGAGGAAUACGAGAUCUUCAAAUCAAAUUAGCAAGGCUUGAAGAGAAUACUUCUAUAAACAAUUCGAAGAAUGUUUCAAAACAAGUAUAUGUACAAAGAUGCAUUUGGUGUGAUGAUGCUUCACACACUAGAAAAGAUUGCAAUGAAUUUAAUAAUAUGAUACGGCAGGGAAUUAUUUGCUGGAAAGAUGAGAAGAUAGCAUUGAAAGAUAGGGAUGAUCUUCUUCAAACCAAUUUUGGCAAGGGAGGAAUGAGAGCAUUGGUUCAAGAUUACCUAAAAGAGCAUGAAAUAGCAGCACGAGAAAGUACAAGUUAUGGUGCUAGAAUAGAUGAUGAAAUUGGUGGAAGUAUGGAAACUAGUGAGUUUUGGGCUUCUGCCGUUUCUACAAUGCAAGAAGGGAAAUUACCUCGAGAAGCGUAUUUGAAGACUGUAGCUACAAUACGAGGUAGAACAGGUUGGGAGGAUCCUGUUGAGUCUCUUUCAGUUCAUGCAUAUAUUGCUAAGAGCCAACAUGAAGCUUUGAUGGAAGAAAAGAGACGAGGAAAUUUUGAUGGUACUAGAGAAGAAAAUUCUUCUAAGAGGCAAACUCGAGGAGACAAGGCUCGGGAGGCAGCUUCACAAGAAUUACCUGUAAAGGAUGCCUUAGCAUCAUUGGGAGAAAAAACAAAGGAGACAAAAGAUAAGGGCAAAUCAAUUGCUUAUAAGCUACUUUCUGACAUUGAAGCGGCAACAAAUUUGAAAGGGGUGCUAGAAGAACGUAUAUUAAACGCUAAGGUGGAAUUCACAUUGAAAGAAGUCUUGGGAAUUGCAAAGAAGGAGUUUCAUGAUGUUAUCAUUGACAGCAUUAAGGGAAAGAGGCAAUUAAUGGGUGAAACUAGAAUGAGUCAUGCUAUUGAUGCAAGAAUAUAUAAAGAUGAAGAAAAGGUUGAUAUUGGUUACAAGCAACCAACAAAUGAAAAGAAUGUGUAUAAUCAACGAGUACGUUUUGAAGAUUCUAGUGAUAAGAAAAUGGAAACUUUGAGCCAUUAUACUCGAAAGCAUUGGACAAGGGCAACUACUGAGGUAUUGGUGAAAUUAGGAGAUAUAGAUGAACCAAUUUUUGCUUUAGUCGACGAUGGUUCUAAAAUAAAUUUUAUGUCUAAAGAUCUUUAUAAGAAGCAAAAAUGGCCAAUUGAUAUGGAACAUGGAUGGGCAAUACGAGCAGCUAAUAAUACAUGGGGCGAAUUAUAUGGAGCCUAUCCAGAUGUCAAAAUUCGGAUUGGGGAUGUUGCGACGGAGCAACAUUUCUUCGUUCAAGAUACAACGUCUUAUCCAUUGAUUUUAGGACAACCUUAUAUUAUAGCAACACGGAUGGAAAUAAAAGUACUUGACGAUGGUUCUGCUUAUGCAAGGGUACGUAGCGAGGAUGGGAGGAAAGCUGUUUAAUUUCUAACAGUACCUCCUAACCAUGAACGGAAUCGAGAUAGGUUGAGGGAGAAACCAUUGCCAAAGAUUGUUGAAGGAUUUAAGGAUUUUGGGAAAGUACCACUGUAAAGCGAGAUUAUGGAGGUACAAAAGAGGAGGUACUCUCGCGAGAUGAAGGUGCCUUUGAUGCGAGUUUUAUUGGUAUAUUGGAGAAUGGAAAUAUUAUGUAUAAGAAAGUUGAUGAUUUUAAAAGAAAAGAAAGAAAAAUAUUAUAUGAUAUUGAAGGAUAAUUACGCAAGUUAGGUACAUUGCAAGAUGAUGAGAGGAUUUUAGGUAUUUAUGAAGAAAAUGGACUGGAAGAUUCAUUGGGAUUGAUUACAUCUAUUGAAUUAGGGGAUAAUGAUAAGAUUGUUGAGAUUCAUUCAAGAGAGGUUUAUACCAUAUUUGAAUCUUUUCAAGCACCAGAAGUCACUGUAGAGACGAGAUAUAAAACGGCAGAUAAGAAGGUAAAGCCUGUUGUCCGACCAUUACCAGAAGAUUCUAAAGAACAAAUGGAAGAAGCAUCAAAAGAAGCAAGUUUAAGAGAUCCAAUGAGUAUUGGACAUCAGUUUACUAAAGAGACUUUUGAAGAAUUGAAGAUUGGUUCUGAUGGUUCUUUAUUACCGGAGGAAAUUACUUGCUUCAAAAAGAUGUUGGCUAAACAAGGUAGAUCGUUUGCUUUCGAAUCUCAUGAAAUUGGUUGUGUGGAUCCAAAUAUUAUAACACCUAUGGUUAUCUUCACUGUACCGCAUGUACCUUGGAAUCUAAGACCGAUUCCAGUAUCGAGGGCACAUUUACCUAAAUUGGUUGAGCUAUUAAAAGAAAAGAUAAAGAUGAAAAUAUUGGAACCCCCUGUUGCGCCGUAUUCUAGUCGAUGGUUUACGGUACCUAAGAAGAAUGGGUCACUACGGUUUAUUCAAGAUAUGCAACCGGUGAAUGCAGUAAUUGUCAGGAAUGCAGGAAUUGGACCUAUUGUGGAUGAAUUUGCUGAGGCGUUUACUAGAAGGGCGAUCUAUUCAAUGGGUGAGUUGUAUUCAGGUUAUGAUCAAUUUCAACUUGCCGAAGGAAGUAGAGAUAUGACAACAAUGAGGACACCACUUGGAUUGGUUAGAAUGUGUACUCUUUCUCAAGGCGCGACCAACUCAGUUGCGCAUAUGAUGAAUGGGAUGAAUAAGGUAUUGAGAGAUUUUAUUCCGGAAAAGACUAUGCCUUUUCUGGAUGAUGUUCCUAUAAAAAGGUGCAGAGAAAGAGACAAGGAUGAAACUUUAGAUACGAGGAGGUGUCGCAAAUAUGUUCUUGAUCAUAUACAAGAUUGUGAAAAGAUUUUAAUUCGGCUUGGAGAAGUUCAUCUUACAUUAUCGGGUAUGAAGUCCGUAUUUGGAGUAUGAGAGGUUGUGAUUGUUGGACAUUUAUGUGGAUCUUACGAAAGAAAACCAGAUCCGACUAAAGUUGAUGUAAUUAAAAAGAUGAAAGAGGAUUGUGAUUUUUUAACAAAGGCUCGCAGGUUUUUGGAUGCAUGUGUAUUUUAUCGAAUCUGAAUCCCUCAUUUUGCUCACAUAGCGGAUCCAUUAUAUGAACUGUUACGCAAGGGUUACCGAUUUAAAUGGGAAGAAAGGCAUAUUCAGGCAAUGCAAAGAUUGAAGAAAUUAUUGAUGUCACCUCCAAUAUUGAGGAAGGUUGAUUAUAAGUGCAAUAGACCAAUGAUUCUUACUGUGGACGCUAGUCCAAUUGCCAUUGGAUGGGCUGUGGGUCAAGAUGAUUCUAAUGGGAAUAGAUUUGCAGUUCGAUUUGGGGCUAAAGUUUUAAGUAUUCGUCAGUGUGCAUAUUCGCAAGUCAAAAGAGAACUUUGGGGAGUUAUUUCGGCUAUGAAAGCUGAAAAGGACUAUUUGAUUGGGACAGUAGUAGUAAUUGAAACAGAUUGCUUGCCAUUGCUUGGAAUGAUUACUAACUGUUCAACGCCAGAUAUUGUAAUAUUGAGAUGGAUUGUUUAUAUUAAGUCACUAAAUCCGGAAUUUAAGCAUGUUACUGGGAAGGACAAUUUAGUAGCAAUCAUGCUAUCUCGAGCAAGAUACGAGAGAGAGGACGAAAUGGUUGAAGACAUUGAUGACGUCGAAUUGAAAUUCUAUUCAAUAUCAAAUCUCAACAAGGAAGACAAGCUAUUUCUUGAAGAAUCUUUUGAAGGAGAAUUAUUGGAUAUUGGUCAUUACUUGAAUACCUUGUCUAAGCAGGAGAAUUGGUUUACAGAAAAAUUCAAACAAAUAAGAAAAAAAGAAUAUGGAUUUUUACUUCGAAAUGGAUUCUUAUGGAAGAGACCGAAGAAAGGAAUUGGGAUGCCACGACAAGUGAUAGGCAAAAGGGAAGAAAAACUAAAAUUAUUAAAGGAGUUUCAUGAUAGUUUAUGGGCAGGGCAUAGAAGAAUCUGGACUACUUUUGCUAAACUCAAGGAACGAUAUUGGUGGAAAAAUAUGUAUCGAGAUGUGCUCUCAUUUGUAGAGUCAUGUAAAAUCUGUCAAUCGUAUUCUAAUAUCCGACAUCGAGAUGGUCUUCAUCCUACGUAUCCUCUGGCUAUUCAUUUUAAAUGGGUUGUUGAUUUGGUUAUUAUGCCAGUUGUAUCAUGGCAGAUGAGAUAUUUGGUUUUAGCUUAUGAAGAUUUAUCAAAUCAAGUAGAAGGAAGAGCAUUGAGGACAAAAUCUACAGAGGGAAUUUGUAGGUUUUUGCUUCAAGAUGUCAUUUGCCGCUACGGAUGCAUAGGAAAAAUCACUGCAGAUCGUGGGGAAUUAAAUGCACAAGAAGCUCGUAAGUUCUUUGAAAGGUGUGGAGUUAAACUAUCACUGACUACUGCUUAUAAUCCAGAAGGGAAUGCAAAAAGCGAAUGCGGUCACCCAUCGAUUGUGAAAGCAUUAGUUAAAGCUUGUAAUGGAAAAGUUAAAGAGUGGCCACGGCUUUUGUCAUUUGCAUUAUGGGCUGAUCGAACAACACAUAGUUCGGUGACAGGAUAUAUGCCAGUAGAACUUAUGACAUGUCGAAAACCAAUUAUGCCGAUUGAAGAAAAGGUACUUACUUGGAGUAUGCUACCAUGGGAAGAUGGAUUGACAAGAGAAGAACUUCUGGCUAUUAGGAUUCGACAAUUGGAGCAAAGAUCGGAAGAUGUACAGAUAGCAUUGGAAAGGUUAAAAAGAGUAAGGUUACGAAACAAGGCGCGAUUCGACAAGCAACAUCGAUUGAGACCUAAAGCAAUCGAAGAAGGUGACUGGGUACUUGUUUAUGACAAUAGUCUAGAUAAUCAACAUAGCACUUUGCGGAAAUUUUCAAAAUGUUGGUUUGGACCAUAUGUAGUAACAACUGUUCAUGAUAAUGCGACCUACUCAUUACAGGAGUUAGAUGGUACAAAAUUGAAAAUACCAAUUUCAGGGAAGCGAGUAAAAAUAUUUAAACGAAGACAUGUGGAGAUGAAUAUGGAAGACCUUAAUGAAGGUAUAGAGAUUGUACAGCAAGAAGAUGAAAGUGAUUUGAAUAAUGAAGGUGACGAAGACAAACUGGACAAAGACGUAGAGGAUAUAUUCUGAAUCAAACAGCAAUUGAAUAAAUUGGUGCAUACCGGAGGAUGCACAGGUUCAGAGGGGGUGGAUGUCGUGUUGUAACACGAGUAUACCGUGAAAAUAUAAAGAAAGAGGACUUUUAUUAAUGUUCAGUUACCUCGAAUAUUGGGAGCAAUGACCAACUCCAGUGCAAUUACUGAGUGGCCAGGUUCAGUCACCCCAUUACAGUCAGCCGGGGCAUACUGAAAUGCUCCAUUCGAUUCUAAUAACGGGAGUCAGUAGGAAGAGAAAGGACCAAUUCACACGACAGGUGAGCCUGGUUCGAAGAGCCAAUUGGAUCCAAUUUCAAGAAUCCAAUCCGGAUCCUCUUACCCAAUAUGAGACCUGAAUUGGCCGGACAACCCAAUGCAGUCUAAUUACGGGAAAGUCUUACUACGAGCCUCAGCCAAUCUAACCCAAAGGACCAAUUUGAUCCAAUUACGGGGACAUUCGGGUCUUACUACUGGACUCUUAGCCAAUAUGAGACAUGAAUUGGUCGGGCGACUCAAUGUAGUCCCGAUUAUAGGGUUUCGAUUCUGUUUCAGGCUGUCCUGUUCUCUGUGCCGUUUCAGGGAACGUUGUUUUCGGUAAAAAGAUCUCUUAAAGGUAAAAACGGGGGAGAAAGCUCUGAUGGCGAGAGCCAAUUUCGGAUCCAAGCUCUGACGAUGGGAGCCAAUUUCGGAUCCAAGACGAAAGAUUAAAGAAAUUCAAAGGAUAAGGUUAAGGGAGAGAAUAAGUUUUUGGGGAGUUUUUUGAAGAAUCGGAGAGAGCUAGCUUCAUGCUUCGGGCGAGAAAAGAAGACAGAGAUAUGGGUUUUUUUUCUUCAUAGGGUUUUGAGAAGAGUGAGGCAAUCGUUGCUGAAGUCAGUGUUGUAAUGGUGAAUCGGGAUUUUUAAUGAAGUGGGUUUGAUUACUCUUGACUGUUUUGUGAAAUCGAGUUAUGUCUAUGAUGAAGAGUUAAAAGGGUGUCUAUAGGAUUGAGUAUGCGGAGUGAAUGAAAUUUAUUGGGUUAAUCUAACAAGACAGUCAGUGGAUACAAGAUCGUGAGUAUAAAGCGGUAUCGAAGAUUAGCAGUUUGGAUUGAUCGGGGUUCUCUGUAACGUCUAAAGACCUACCGGCUGGGGCAAAAAGGACUUCGACAAGCAGUCGAAGGGCAUUCGUAUAGAUUUACGAUAUAUUCUUGCAGUUAUUUGUAUUCCAACAGUCAAAAACUGAUAAACUGCUUGAAUAUUGGCGAAUCUUCAUACUACCUUCUAUAGCCAGACACCCGGCUCGUUCUCGAGCAAGAAAGCACGUAAUACGACAUCGCUGCAUACAAUAACCGUUUGGACAUAUAUGUGGGGUGUCGGUACAAUCCUAACCGCCUCACCACAAAACAAAAUCAUUCCACGAGAUCUGAUAAAAUUACCUCAGCAGUCCGCCAACCUUGGUUCCUUUCAAAGGCUGAAAUACUUCCCUUAAAAUAUCUUCUUGGACUGAAGUCGCUUGAGUCAUCAACUCCGACCACAAUCUCUCCAAUAGGAAGAAAUAUCAUCUUUUCUAGAAUUGGUCCAUCAACCCCGAUAAUUUGUGCUUGUACCAUAUUCGGUCCAUCUUCUGGGUCGUAGUUUGCCAUAUAUUCUUCCACUAAUGAGACAUUAAUUGAUGGUAAGCGAUCUGAUAGGUACAAAAACUAGAACAACUAUGCAUUCCAAAAGUCUUUUAUUCUUUUCGACAUCCAAUAAAUCUCUAACUUCAUCGGCUCCAUAUUGGUAACAAUUAUCACAGAAGGUAGUUUUGAUGCACGUCUAGCUUUCACAUUUCGUCCACUGUCCUCUUUGUCUACAACUUGCUUUGCACUUUCAAUUGCCAUGAUGCUUCCUCUCUCAAACUCUUAACUGGAACUACUCUGCUCGAAAAUGUAAGGAACACAAGAAAUAACAAUCUCAAAAAAAAAAUAACCAAGAACGACAACACAAAAUAACCUCUAACUGGUGCCACACUCCUAUUCUUUUUACUACCUAGUCAUAAUGACAACAUGUUAAUCAUAUUGUCCGUUUCUCACCUCCGUCCCAUCUAACAUAUUAAUAAUUACUAACUAUCUUUUCAGCCGCCUCUACACCCUAACGCACUUAUACCAUACUUAGGUCUACCUUGUGUCCAUUCGAAGUCACCCCCCUAAAAAAAUAAAAACUAGUCCCGAAUUUUAUGUAUUAUAUAACCAUAAUUGGUUCCCAUUAAUGCGGGUACUAAAGCGAUGGCCCAUGAAGUCCUCUAAUUGAACAGACCCAUUAAAAAAACCUUCAACCACGUAAUACGGCCCAUACCAACGAACUUGAAGUUUUCACAAAAAAUGAUUAAAUCGGCUAUGAUACAGUACUACCAAAUCAUUGGGCAUAAAGAUCUUCGGACGAAGUUUACUAUUAUAGUAAUUCUUCCUUCGUUUUUGAAUCGCUUCCAUGUUGAAAAGAGUUGUAGUCCAUAUUUCAUGCAAUUCUUCCAAUUUUGCCAACCGAGAAUGUAAUGAUUCUUUGUCACUGAUUCGUUCAUCCAAGGUAAUCCGUAAACUUUGAACCUCCAACUCGAUGGAUAAAAUUAACUCUUGACGAUAAAUUAGUUGAAACGGAGUAGAGUUGGUAGUUACUUUAUAUGCGGUGCAAUAUGCCCACAAAGCCAGAAAGAGUUUGGUCUUCCAAUUGGUACCUGCCCCAAAAAUUGUCUUAGUCAAUAUCUUGCACAAAAUUCUGUUGGUCUUUUUUGUUUGCCCAUUAGCACGAGGAUGAUAUGGAGUGGAUUUUUGAUGCUUAAUCUCAUAUGUGUUUGUCAAGGCUGCUAUGGUAGCAUUGAGGAAAUGGGUGCCACGAUCGCUAACCAAUUCCUUCAGAUAUCCAAAUCAAGUUAUAAUAUUCACGUAUAAAAAAGUAGCCACCGUACUGGCAUUAUUAUUGCGAGUACCAAUAGCCUCUAUCCAUUUGGUUAUAUAGUCCAUAGCGACUAAAAUAUAUCACUUUUGACUAGAUUUUAAUGCUGGUGUGAUGGAACUGACAAAAUCAAUAUCUCAUUUUUCGAACGGUGCCAGUGCCAAAAUUGGAACUAAUGACAUGGCAAAAAUGCCCAUGGAUCGACCAAUUCGUUGACAGGGAUUACAAUGACGAAAAAAUUGGUACGUAUCAAAAAACAUUGUGGGCUACUAAUAUUCGACCAUUAAAGCCUUGCGAGCAAUACUAUCUCCCGCAAAAUGACUACUACAACUAUCUAAAUGGCAAUCUUCGAGGAUCGACUGUACUUCAGUUGAAAAGAUACAGCGGCAUAAAAUACCAACUUUACCUUAUUUAUACAAAGCAUUGUGAAUCAUCGUGUACAGGGCAUUCUUCAAAAUGAGUCGCUUCUUAAGCUUCUCGGUGAAAGAUGGCAGAAAGGUGUCGAAGGUCAAAAACUGAAUGAUUUUACUAUAUUUGGGGGAAAUUACAUCCACCACAAAUAAUUUGACGUUAUGAAGAGCAUCCAGGAUAGGCUCGGUUCCAAGAAUAUUAGACAACUGAGAUAAAUGAUCAGCAUUGGCAUGUUUCUUCCCAAGUUGUACGACAAUCAUAAAAUUGAACUCUUGUAAGAGUAAGACCCAUCGGGCAAUGCGCCCACUCAAUUGAGGCUUAUUAAUCAUGUAUUUGAAGGCAUCAUGAUCCAGAUAAAAAACAAACAAAUACCCAAGCAAAUAGUGUCAAAAUUUUUGAACCGAGCAUAUUAUACCCAACGCUUCUCGUUCAAUAGUAGUGUAAUUGCAUUCGACAGCCACUAAUUACCGAUUGGCAUAAUAGAUAGGAUGAUCCAGACUCUUGUCAUCCUUUUGACUUAACAUCGAUCUAAUAUCCACAUUGGAUGCAUCAACGUACAUAUAAAAGGGCUCCGUCUAACGAGGAGCCACCAAUAUUGGUGCAGAGAUCAAUUUUGACUUCAAUGCUUCAAAGGCCACAGUACACUCCAUGGUGCAGAUGGGACUAGUCCCAUCUGAUGGAGGUUUCUUCAGUAAGUUCAUUAAAGGUUGACAAAUAACUGUGAAUAAACGAAUGAAUCUUCGAUAAUAACUGACAUGGCCUACAAACACAUGAACACUGAAGACCGUCUCUAGUCUUGACAAGUUCAUUAUAUGUUGCACUGUGAUUGCUUGUUUUACUUAUUCUGAAUUAAUCUAAUGGGAAUAAACUCAUAUAGGGGGAUUGGAACACAGGAAAUGACUAGUUGCUUAAGCGUUCACCUUAAGGUCACACAAUCAAUUACCUCCUGAAUGUAUCGUCUCUAUUUCCAAUAUCUGAACACACAAGGAAACUAUAAUCUCCUCCUUCACCUUAUCGGUCUCUUCCUUACAACAAUUCAGUCAUACCAAUAACUACUAUUUCUACCAAUAUAUUCACCCUCAUAAUCUCCAACUGUAAUACUGCGCCCUCACAGCUUUCAGUACAUAAUUACCCUCAUUCCAAUCAUUGGAAUUCUUUACACAGAACUGCCAUUCACAAUACGGUGUCGUGAUGUAACAUGGAUAACAAAUGAAAGGCUGGAAAAAAAAAAGAAAAGAAAAAAAGAUCAUGUUUGAGGAUCUCACUUCAAAAAUAUUGUAGCAAAUUAUCUUGGAAAAAUAGAUAUUAGUCAAAGGAUAGAAAAAUUAAAGGUGCUAAUGCUGCCUUUUUACAAAUUAUGCUUCUAUUUACUUUGUAAGGCCAUAAAUAAGACAAAACAAGGUAGAUUAGAAAAAUAAAGAAUAUAGGCAUAUGUAGGGAGGAAUUAGGAGUGCAAAUUAGUAAAAAUUACCUCAAGAAGAUGAAAGUUGAUACCCGAAGAGGACCGGUUAUGAACCUGGGUCGAAAUCAGAUCCCGAGGCACAAAACCGUGCUCUGACGGCGAUUCAAGGACUCUUUGGCAGAUCGGAGAGUGGGGUUUGAUAGAAGAUUGAAUAGGGUUUCUAUGGGUGUUGAUUUUGGGUGAUUUGGAUCUGUAUUGACUUUGUAAUAGCUUUGCAAAGUCAAGGUUUGUUUUGGAUGACUCGGAUUUUAUGAAAUAAAAUAAGGUUUAUAUUUUGGAUGAUUUCAAGAGAUUUUUUAUAGAUCUACAAGUGAAAUUUUGUGGGUCUAUGUUUAUAGUUGUGUUUAAUAUGUAUAGUGAAUUUGAGCUCGAUCUAACAGUUGAAUUGAAGGAUAUUGAGGUUUAAGUGGGUCAAGAUCUCAGAAAGUAGAAUUUUAGGUCUAGUGAGGUUUUUUAAGAUUUCUUGCAAUCUACGAGUUGGAUUGGAGUGAAACUUAUGUGAGAGGAUAUUAGACUUGUUUUCCUAUGCGUAUGAUAAUUUUGAGAUCAAUCGAAUGGUGCAAAGCAGAGAUAUUGGCUCUAGAAGAUUGGCAUUAAGAUUGGAGAAGGAGGCUGGCCAAUACCCGAGCACAUUUUUGAGGAUAUCGUCAGCUUGGUACUCCGAUCCUUAUCAAUUUUUUUUGUGCUUGUUUCUAACUUAUUUUUUUAGAAGUUUGUAAAAUUUGAGUUAAGAUCAAUAGUUUAUUCAUUAGUUAUUGGAGUUUAAAUCUGUUAUAGGAAUUACUAGGAUUUAGUUUAGGAUUUGGUUAGGAUUUGAUUUGGGGUUUAGGAUUUGGAUUAGGAUUUGAUUUAGGAUUUAGGGUUUGGUUUAGGAUUUAGGCUUUGAUUUAGGAUUUAGGGUUUGAUUUAAGAUUUAGGAUUUGGAUUAGAAUUUGAUUUAGGGUUUAAGAUUUGGAUAGGAUUUGGUUUAGGGUUUGGUUUAGGAUUUAGGGUUUGGAUUAGGAUUUGAUUUAGGGUUUAGGAUUUGGAUAGGGUUUGAUUUAGGAUUUAGGAUUUAGAUUAGGAUUUGGUUUAGGAUUUGGAAUUUAGGAUUUGGAUUAGGAUUUGAUUAGGGAUUAAGGUUUGAUUAGGAUUUGGUUUAGGAUUUAAGGUUUGUCUAGGGUUUUAUUAAGAUUGGAUUAGGAUUAGGAUUUGGUUAGAAUUUAAGGUUCUAUUAGAUUUUUGUUAGGAUUUGACUAAGUUUUUUUUAAUAUUUUUUUAUAUUUCUUUAGGAUUUCUUUGUGUUUCUUUUAUAACUUCAAUAAAAUUUAAUUGAACUUGCUUAAUGUUUGAUUAUGAUUGUUAAUAUUUAAUUGUAAAUUCUCUAUAAUCCUAUUGGAUUUUUAGGACCUUUUGUUGUAAUUUUCUUUUACCUUCCACAGCCAAGUGCUCGAUGCAUUCUCAAGCAAGACUUCACGUAAUACGACAACGAUGUUUCACACAAACACAAACUCAUUCUCUCUGUUGAACUACAAUCAAAUUUCAGCAUUCAAUCUUUCUUCUUCUCAAAUAAUACCAAUCACAUUUCCAUUCCAUAAUUCACUUUACAAUAUUCAGAAACUCUCAAUCCUCUUAUUCAAAGAAAAUAACAAACAAAAAAAAAGAGGUAGCACCAAGCUUACCUCGGCUCACAACUAUCACAGCAAUGGCCCUCGGCUCAUGACUAUCACAGUCUGGCACCUUAAUUAACUUCUACAACUCUUAUAUACUUUCCCUUGAUUCUCCAGAUUCUAACCAUAAUUCUGUAAUUAACCACUUUUAAGAAUUAAAUCACUCAUCCAUGCUCUUGAAUUUCCUAUUAUAUGGACUAUUAAUAUAUUUUAUUAAUAUCUUUCAAAAAAAAAUUAAUUUCUAUUCUACAUGUACUUUGUCAGGAUCCGUAGCAAUACCAUGACUGGAAAUGAUAUGUCCCAAUAAUUUUUCAGAUGGAAUACCAAAUUGACACUUCUUUGAGUUCAAUGAUAUUCCAAACUUAACGCAUUGAGCCAAAUAUUUGCCUAGACAAUUAAGAUGAUCUUGUUUUAUAUUGAAUGUACAAAAGUCAUCUAAAAAGAUCUCUAUAAACAACCGAAGAUAGUCUUGGAAGGCGUGAGUCAUCACUCUCUAAAACGUGGCUGGGACGUUGCAUAACCCAAAAGACAUCAUGCGAUAAGCAAAUGUGCCCCAAUCUGUAAUAAAGGUCGUCUUAAGCUGGUCUUCCAUUACAAUUUAAACUUCAUUAUAUCCAAAAAAUCUAUCAAGGAACGAAUAACAUUCGUCACCAACUAUAGCAUCUAAUAUACUAUCUGUGAAAGGCAAUGGAAAGUAAUUCUUCUUAGUGGCCGCAUUAAAUUUGCAGAAAUCCUGAUAAAUGUAGAUUUUUCCAUUCUUUUUUGGCACCAUGACGAUUGAAGAAAUCUACUCGCUAUUUAGUAUUGGGUAAAUAAAACCAACCACAAGAAGCUUGUCUAAUUCUUCCUUCACCAUGAAGGAAUAUUUAGGAUUAAGGCGAUGUUGCCUUUGUUGUACCAAUUUAGCAUUCUCCUCUAAAAUGAUAUGAAGCUCACAAACGUCAGCGGAAAUACCCUUUAAAUCAGCAUAAGUUCAAGCAAAAGUGGACUUAUGAUGCAAGAAAAAUUCUGUCCAAUAGGUCAACUCAUAGUCCUUAAUAUCUUCGUAGACCUUAAUUGUCCAUGGCUCUGCUGUGGUCACCAAGUUAAUAGUUUGACAUAAGUCUUGACUAUUCUAUAGACUAUUAAUCUAUUUUAUCAAUAUCUUACAAAAAAGAACUAAUAUCUAUUCUAUAGUGACAAGUUGGCAUUAAAGAGUAAUACCUGAUCACCUUUCUAGAAGGUCUUAUGUUGCCAAUAGUUAUUUGUAUACUACUUCCAUCAAUUCUGUAUAGUAAAGAGGCGAUGCUAUGCUUCUUGUAAGGUUAUUGUAAGCCAUUGUAUAAAUUCUUUUGUUGUUUGGUUGUUGGUGUCGAUAGGAUGAUAGAGAGUUGCUUGCGUAAUUAGAUACUAAUUAAUAUUAAGAAAAAAUAGUAAAUUAUUUGAACAAUACUUACCAAAAACUUCUUAUGAAGCGUAGAUUUUGAUUUGAAAUGAUGACACAAGAUAAUUCAUGGUCACAAAAGAUAGUAUCAAAGAAAACUCGUGCAAGUAUUGUCAUGAUGUAACAUAGUUAAUAUGUGAAAGAGUGUAAAAAUUAUUUUAUUAUAGAAGAUCUUAGUUCAAAAUAUUUUAGCAAAUUAGCUUAAAAAUAUAGAUAAUAGUCAAAAGGGUAAUAAAAUUAAAAAAAUACUAAUAUUUCUUUUUACAAAAUAGACUUCUAUUUACUUUAUAGGACCAUAAAUUAAGUAAAAUAAAGUAAAUUAAAAAAUUAAAUGAUAUAAGCAUAUAUAUAAAAAAAUUAAGACUAGAUUUUAGUAAAAUUUACCUCAAAAAGCUAAGAAUUGAUACCCAAAAAGGACCAAUUGUUAACUUAGGUUGAAAUCAUACUUUGAGGCACAAAAUUGCACACCUACAGUGACUCUAGGGUUCUUUUGGAGAUUAGAGAGUGAUAUUUCAUUGCAAACUUGAUAGGAUUUUUAUGAGUAUUGAUUUAGUCUGUUUUGAAUUUGUAAUGACUUUGUAAGAGCCUGACAAAGUCAAGAAUAUUUUGGAUGACUUGAAUUUUUAUGAAAUAAAAUAGGAUUGAUAUUUUAGGCAAUUUUAAGAGUUUUAUAAUAGAUCUAUAAGUGAAAUAUUGUGGAUUAAUGAUUACAGUUAUGUUUAAUAUGUAUUAUGAAUUUUAGCUUGAUCUAAUAAUUGAAUUAAGGAUUAUUGAAGUUUAAGUGGAUUGGGGUCUUGGAAAAUAGAAUUUUAGAUCUAAUAAGAAUUUUUAAGCUUUCUUAUAAUCUAUUAAUUGGAUUGGAGUGAAAGUUAUGUGUAUAGAUAAUAGACUUAUUUUCUUACAUAUAUGAGAAUUUUGAAAUCAAUUAAAAUGUACAAAAUGGAGAUGUUAGAACUUGAAGAUCAGCAUUAAGGUUGGAAAAGGAGGCUAGCCAACAUCCAAGUAGAUUUUAGGAUUUUUCUUCUAUUUUGCAAAUGUGAUUGUCUUCAAAUUUGUUACAUUUGUUUAUAACUAAGAAAUUAAGAGGUGUAUAAAAUUUUAAACAAGAUCAAUGGUUUAAUCAAAAGUUAGUAAGGUUCUGAAUUAUUUUAGGAUUUGAUUUAGGAUUUAGGAUUUGAUUAAGGUUUGAUGAAGAUUUGAUUUAAGAUUUAGGAUUUGGUUAGAAUUUAGUUUAGGGUUUAGAAUUUGACUAAGAUUUGGUUUAGGAUUUAGGAUUUGGUUAGAAUUUGGUAAGAGUUUGAUUUAGGAUUUAAGAUUUGAUUAGAAUUUUAUUAGGAUUUGAUUUAGGAUUUAGGAUUUAAUUAGGAUUUAGAUUAAGAUUUAAGAUUUUUAUAAGAUUUGGUAUAGGAUUUAGGAUUUGGCUAGGAUUUAAUUAGAAUUGAAUUUAAGGUUUAGGAUUUAUCUAGGAUUUGGUUUAGGAUUUAGGAUUUUUUAAGUUUUGAUUGAAAUCCAUUAGGAUUUCAACUAGAAUUACAUUAAAACUUGAUUGAGAUUUAUUUAAAAUAUAUUAUGAUUAUUUUAAUAUUUUUUAGUAUUUCUUAAGGAUUCUUUUAAUAUUUAUUGUGGAUUAUCUUUCAACUCUUUUAAGAUUUCUAAGUUUUUAUUUGGAAUUUCUUUAAGGUUUCUUUUAAAUUUGAUUAAAGCUUGUUUAGCAUUGUUAAGAUUUAAUUAGAGUUUAUUUAGUAUUCUAUUAUAAUUAAGAUUUUUUUGUUGGAAUUUUUAUUCUAUCUUCUAUAGCCAGAUGCUUGGUGCACUCUGAAGCAACAGUUCACACAAUACGACAAUAUUGAAGCAUCAAUAUUCAAAUGCACUAUGGCCAAGUGAAGUUGCUUUGAGAGUUGAUUCACAAAGACAGCAACUGUCAUAUGAUUAUAAGGUGUCUACAACAAACACAUAAUGAGAUUCAUAAUCACUUCCUUUCAACGUACCGUAGGUAGCAGAAUUAGCUGUAAUAGUUUAGAAGACAUUAUAUUGUGUACUUUAUUACAUUGACAUGACUCGCAGGAGCAUACAAAGGCUCAAACAUUAUAAUCCAAACCUAUCCAAAAUCAUAUCCUUAAGAUUUAUUCUAGAGUCUUUUCUCGUCCAAAAUAUCUAAAUAUUGGAAUGUCAUAUCCUUCUUGAAGUAUGUACAUUUGGAGUUUAACAUUAUCAUGUAUAUAACUUUAUUUCUUAAAAUAGAAUAAGCCAUCAUUAAGAGUAUAAUCUUGAUAUUCUAUAUUAUCCAACUUCAGCCAAUUGCUAACUAUUUUGAAGUAAGCAUCUCGAUGCAUAGCUUCUUUCUAUUUUAUUUCUUUGAUUAGAUCUGAAAUGACAUUACUAAUAGUAGCAACUUCUACCUUCUCUCUUGAUUUGUCUUUCAAAUCUGAUCUUUGCAAUAAGCUAUCUAUUACAGUAUGUUGUCAUCAUUGCUUGUACUCAAGCUAUAUAUCAAAAAACUACAACUGUUCUUUUCAACAAUAAUGCUGCAAUUUUAUAUUUUUUACAUGCAAAUCAUAUAACAAGGGUUGAUGGUCAGUUCAAACAACCAUUGGCUUUUCCAAUAGAUAGUGUCACCAUACCUUUGUGGUGAAUAUAAUCACUAAUUGUUCUCAAUCACGUGUAGAGUAAUUACAUUCUACUCUUUUGAAUUUGCGUGAUUUAUAUGCCAUAAGUCAAAGGUCCCUAUCAAAGUCUUAUUGAAGGAUCACUCCAAUAUCAAAGUCAAAAGCAUCAAUGUUAAGUGUAUAAAGAAGAUUAAGAUCAUAUAGUUGCAAUAUUAAAGCAGUAAUAAGUACCUCUUUCAAGUUAUCAAAGGCAUUUUAAUGCUCUAAUUUCUAUUAAAAUGGAACACCUUUUUAUAAUAUAUUUAUCAAUGAGAUAAUAAUAUUAAUAAAUCAUCAAAUAAAAUGAUAAUUUUAUCUAAUAAGGCCUAAAAAUGAACAAACUUCAGAAGCAUCUUUAAAAAUUGGCCAUUCUUCCAUUGCUUUCAUCUUAUUUUGUUCUAUAUACAUGCCUUUGAAGGAUACCACAUGCUCCAAAAAUAUGACUUUUGACUUCUAAAGUUCAUAUUUUGAUUACUUACAAUAGAAGUGUCUAUCUUGUAGCUGGUGUAAUACUUUUCAAAGAUGUUACUCAUGCUCUUUAGAGAUUUUACUAUAUAUAAGGAUAUUAUUAAUGAAGAUGACUACAUAUUUGUCUAACAAAUCUCAAAACAAUCUAUUCAUCUAACCUAUGAAAGAGGUUGGAGUAUUGGUGAGGCCAAAGGAUAAAACCAGCCAUUCAAAAUAACCAUAGCACAUACAAAAUAUCAUCUUUUUUACGUCCUCUCUUCCAAUAGGUAUUUGCCAAUAGCCACUCUGAAGAUUGAAUUUACUAAAGAUAAUCAGUGUGAGCUAAAUUCCUCCACCCUUAAUUGCGUUUAGUAGUCAAGUGGAUUAACUUCACUCACACGCAAUUUUUAUAAACCCUAAGUUCAUCCAUAAAUCCUAAGUUCAUCCAUAAACCCUAAGUUCAUCCAUAAAUCCUAAGUUCAUCCAUAAACCCUAAGUUCAUUCAUCUUAAAUUUCCCUUCAUCAAUCAUCCAUCCCUUAAAUCUCAUUCAUCCUAUAACAUUCAUUCAUUCAAAGUUUGUUCAUCUAAUUUUCAUCUAAAGAUUCAUUCAUCCAACCAUAAGUUAACUUAUCAUCCAACUGACAAUUCGUGCAAUUGACCUAAUUCAUCCAAGAUUCAUCCUAAAAAUUAAAGAAAAUUGGAAGUCGCCACCUUCCAAGUCAUGGUAGCGACCCCCUUGCACGAAUUCCACUACAAUGGUUGCAUCACUAACUUGUUUAUAACAAGCUUUGCUAUUUUAGAAAGUAGACUUACAAGCGCUUGUCCUCCAACAAAAUUCAAUGCAAAACAACAAUUAAGCUAAAAGAAAUCUUGCCUCAAAGUUGCCUGACUUUCUCGGCCUAGUCAGAGCAUCCCUGGCCACAAAAACCCUUGCCCUUGCUUCAUUCCAAUUGUGCAAUGCAUAUGCUUUAGCAUUCCAAAAACUAGAAUUGAAGCCGCAUCACCUUCAACAAUUUUUUCUUGAAAAUCUUGAGUGAAUUCCAAGAUAUGACCUUCCAAAGUAGCUUGAGUUGGCGGAGUGCUACAUCUUCACCACGGCCGACUCCUCUUCACUCCAACCACCAUAACUUCCUUGGCCUUUACUCAAUCUAAGCGUGCAAAUAAUCCUUACAAAGCUGACAACAAGAACCAUCCCCCACAAAAGUUUCAGCUCCAAAUUCAAUACUGUCCGCCAACACUCGCCUUCCAAAGUCGGACCUCCAGAUCUGGCCGGCAGCUGACCUCCUUGUCACUAAAACCACCACAACUUUCUUGUUUUCUCUCCAAACAAAGCGUGCCUACUGUCCCGAGGGAGCUAACGACAAGAUCUAACUAUUGGUAAAUUUUGACGUUCUAUUUCCAGAUAACUAAUACACUACAGCUGUGCAGUUGCAGCUAUAUAGGAACAAGGGUACGUGGGGAUGUAAUUUGGCAUGGCUUCGCUCCAAAAAAAAAAAAAAGAGAGAGAGUGAGUGUGGCCACCCCCACCCUCUUAUCCAAGUAGGAAGAGACCAAAGGGUGGCGGCCACAUCUCCACCAUCCGAAUCCACCAACCCUAAUCAAGAUCAAGGGCCCACAUUAACCCUAAGUCCUAAACCCGAUUUUAGUGCUGGACAUGCCCAAAAUCCCCAAUUCGAAGCGUUUUUUGACAAAACUAACUCCACCAAUGUGUUUAAAACAUAUUUAAACAUCAAGUUUGACUAUUCAUACAUCCAAAUCUAAGUUCUAGAUGAUUAAGAACCAACAAUUUGACAAACCCAUCACAAUAAAUUUACUUCUAAUUAUUUUCUUCUCCUUUUUCUUCUUCUUCUCCUUGUCCCUCUUCAUCUUCUUCCUUCUUUCUUCUUGGCCUUUUUGUUUUUUUUUUUUUUUUUUUUUUUUUUUUCUUUUGGCUCUUUUUCUUAUCUUUCUUUACACUCCCUUCUCCCUUGAUUUUUCUUUCCACUACUAAUCAUCAAUAAGCCACUAACAUUAAUGUCUAUAACUAACUUAUUAUAACAAAACAUAAUCAAAAUCCUCAUUUUUUUUAGAUUUUUUUAGUUUAACCAACAAUGUGAACCAACUUUUGGGCUCACAAUCAUACCCUGAAAUUGAUUAAAAAGAUCAUUCAUGCAUGGAAGAGGAUAUGCAUUUUUAACAAUCUAGUUAUUGAGGCCUUGAUAGUUGAUGCAAAGGUAAAAUCCACCAUCUUUCUUGGGUGCAAAGAAUAUAGAUGCUUCCUAUGGUGAUGUGCUUUCUUCAAUGAGGCCUUUCUCUAAGAGUUUGUCCAAUGUCUUCUACAAUUCUUUAAGUUCUUUUGGUAUUAAGUAAUAGAUUAGUCAAUUUAUUGAUUUGGUUCUAAAUAAUAGUUCUAUUUGAAAGGAGGUAUCUCAAUUAAGAAGUAUACAAUUAGGUAGGUUAGUUGAAAAGACAUCUUGAUAUUUUCAUAUAAGUUAUUCUGCCUGUUGUACUUCUUCGGCUAUCUUUUCUAUCACUAACGCAAGAUUUGGAAUUAUUAUAUAUAUCGAUUGCUCAUGUUGUAUUUGCUUCUUCAUAAAAGUCGUCUCUACAAGUAAGUCUUUGGUUGUAAAUGAUCUUUCUUCUUCACUUAAUGCAAGGUACAAAGAGUCACCUCGCAUCCUCUAUCUUUAAAAAAUAUUGUCUUUGCUACUCAAUCAACUUGCAUAUUUCUCAUUUCUAGCUAUAGCAUACCAAGGAUAACAUCAUACCUUAGCUUUGACAACUUAAAUCUCUCUCUUGAGACAUAGGCAUCUAUCAAUUUUAAGGUUUCUUCUUCAUAUAUUUCAUUCAAUACAUUCUCUUAAUCAUCUGCAAGAUAUAUAUUUCUUUCUUUGAUUGCUCUAGUUUUAAUUCCAAAUCGAUUGAAAAUUUUAAUUGAGAUGUAAUUUUCUCUAGAGCUAUGCUCUACAAGCACUUGAUAUAGUUAUCUUUUUAGUAGUUUCGUUAGAUAUACUAGUCAAUUCUUUUUAUAGUUAUCUAAGGUAAUGCCAUUUAUCUUUGAGAGUCAGUAUUAAUUCCUAAUACAAUCCUUCAAUGCCUUUACUAAAAAGCUCCAUUUUUUUUCCUUUGAUUCAUUAUUGUUUUAGUAAAUUUUGAGAUUGUGAAUCUAGUUGGUCUUGUUGGCACUUGAAUUUUGAUAUUUUGGACAACCUUCAAUUUGAUGGCAUAGCUCCCGACAAUAGAAAUACAAUCUCUUUUCUACUAAUAUUUUUCGUCUUUGUGGUGUUAAUGAUGUUGGUAGGGUAUCAAUUUCUAUUGGCAUUGGUUAUUAAGCCAUAGUAUUAGAUGGCAGCAUAGGACUUUGUACUAUAGAUCAUGCUCCAAGAUUUCUAAAAUCUAUAGUAUCAACUCUCUACAAUCCAAAUUGUCUCUUGGAAUAUUUGUGGAUCCUUUAGUUUGAUCUUUUGCUGGAUUCUAAGUUCCAAACCUCAUAGAAAUUGAUCCAUCAUCUUUACCUUCGAAACAUUGCUAAUUUUGAGACAUAAAGACUUAAAUUGAAAGAUAUAAUCUUGCACCAACCUAGCUUAUGUAAGAUUUUUCAAUUAAUCGCAUGCUAUCUUCUCCGCAUUGAUGGACCAAAAUUAAUUCCUAAACUCAAUCUCAAACUCAUUUCAAUCAAAAAAUCUACCUUAAUUUCUAUAGCUUUGAACACAAUGUUACUACCAAAUGGAUGCCGCAUCUCUCAAAUAGCUAGUUACAAAUAUAAUUCCUUCAAUGGUAUUUGUGCUAGUUAGUUGGAGAUAUUGUGACAUGUUGAAAAGCCAUUGAUAUACAUCUUCUUAUCUUGAAGUCUUAGAGUAUGUACUUGACUUAUUCAAUUUCAACCUAAUAGAUGUCGACACUCUUAUCCUCGAGGCUUCUAUUUGUCCUAGCAAAGUAGCUAUCUUGCUUAAGAAGUAUUAUAUUUGAGCCUCAAUUUGGGAUUGCUCUGCUAUAUCUUUGAUACUAUCAUUUUUUUAUUGGAUUCCACUUUAUAAUGUCUUUUCACUUUUUGAUUGAUUUUUUAAGAGUAGCUCAUGGUAGCCUCAACAUAAUACCCAAUGUGACCAUAAUAAUUAAGCUUGGACUAGAUGAUGAUUAUUAACACACUACCAAAAAUAAACAGUCUAAUACUUACUUUGAUACCACUAAAAUAUGAUUAGACUAUCUCAAAAAAACCAAGCUCCUACUACACCACAACAAUAUAAAGCCUCAUUAUAAAAUAAGACAAAAUAGAUCAAAAUAAAAAUGAAUCAAACUAAAAUGAAUAAGACAUGAAAGACAAAACUGAACAAAUGGAGAUAAAAUAAAAUAGAUCUGAACAUAAAGAUUCAAAACCAAAUUUUAUUAAAAAAAAAAGGUCCAAAGCCAUACUUGAUCAAAUGUCCCAAUAAGCCUUGGCUAGUCCUAUUUAUAUCUUAUCUUACUAUCCUAGAUUUUCUAAAAUAUUCUUAGGUGGUCGAUCCCAUCUAGAUAACUACCAUAAAUUCUUUCUAGAAUGAUCUAUAGUAGAUCUUAUCUAGUCCACUAACCUAACCCCGAUUCUAGAAACUUCCAUGGUUUUAAUUAUCUAUAUAAUUAUCUUAUCUAUAUCUUGUUACACAAUAUUUCUUAGAAUAUUGCACCCAAUUCUAUUACCUAUGGUACAUUAAAAGUAAGUGACUAUGGAUCACAUUACUUAUUUGUUGCAAAUACCUCAUAAUCUUACUAUGAUUACUAUCUUUGUAGAUUGACUCUCAAAGUAACUUCACUUAAUUGCAGUGUGCUUAAAUAUUGAUGCCCUAGUCCUUGCAUGGAUCUUCUUUGAUAUUAUCUUUUGUUACCAUAAAUUACCUCGUGUCAUCAUUUUAGAUCAGGAUCCAUGUUUCAUGGGAAGUUUUUAACAAGCCUUAUUUAAGCUAUUAGAUACAUGACUUAUCAUAUUUACAACUUUCCAUUUCUAAAAAAAUGAACAAAUAAAGCAUGUAAAUUAAAUCUUAGAAGAUAUCUUAGAAGCAUUUAUGAUAGUUUAUCAUAAUGACUAGGAUGAAUACUUGACGUCCUUCGUGUUUUUUUAUAAUGAUAGUAUUCAAGCAAAUACUAGUCAUUCAUCAUUUUUCUUUAAUAUUGAUGAAUAUUUGAUUAUUCCAAUAAUUUUCUAUUGUUCCAUUGAUAUUAACAACUGGAUAAUAGAGGAAUUUAUACAAUAGCUUACAAUGGCCUUACAUGAGGCAUGACACCACCUCCUUAUUAUACAAAAUUGACAAAAGUAGUAUACAUAUAACUAUCAAUAAUACAAGAUCUUCUAAGAGGGUGAUUAAGUAUUACUCUCCAAUUCCAACUUAUCACUUUUAACAUCAAUCCAAAUCCGUAAAGUGGCACCUUUGUAGCUUAGAUCUUUUUGUAUUUUUUUAGUGAUUUGUGAUAUCGCAUAUUGCCUUGAACUUCGGCCACAUAUUUAGAUCCAUCCAAUCUUUUGUAUCUUGUAAUUGAACGAAUUUUAUACAAAGCUAAAGUACUUUUUGAAUCAAUACCAAUCACCACCAUGGAACCUUUUAAAAUAACUUGGUCAUGGUGGUGACUGGUGUUGAUUGAGAAAGUGUUAAAAUAAAUGGAAGAUAAGUUAGAAGAUAAAAGAUAUUAUCUUAGAUAAGUUGUUAAUGGUCAAAGGACAGUAAAAAGAUGAAAGAAAGUUACCAAGGUGGUGGCUAGGGUUUUAAGUGGCAGCUAGAUUAAGAAGAAUCUAGGAUUUAGUUGGAUAAAAAUAAGUUGAAUACUAGCUAAAAUGGAUGUAACCUCUAUCUAUAAGUAAAGGAUGUUGGAAGUAAAAGGUAUCUCAUUCCACACUUCUCUUAUAUCUAACCUUGCUGAUUUUUACUUACUUGUGUCUUGCUUAUUCUGUUUCUUCAAUAGGUUAUGAGCCCACACACACUUUGUUGUCCUAUUCAAAUAAGUUGAAGUCAUUUGCUCGUUGUUGUUCUUGUGUGGAAUAGAUCUUAUGGUGUUUAUUGAUAUUAGAGAUUGUAUAAUCUAAUCUGGUCUUUUAACUUCUUGAGGUUCUGAUUUGGGCCUUAUAGAUCUCUUACAUUAAUUUUAAGGUUCUUAACUCAUAGGAUUGAGUGAUUAAGACCUUAUACAAAGACCUUGAUAGUGUCUUUGAUUUUGUGGUGAAAAAGUGAGUUUUAUGAAUGGAAGAACUAGAUGGUGAGGUUGAUUGGAGUUCACAUACUUGUUCCAAGCUUCAAAAGUUGAUUUAGGAGUGUUUGGAGUGAAAAAACAUUCAUUUGUUCACAAGAGGGCAUUCUGAGAUUCUGCUAGUACAAAAUUGUUUUAGUGAUUUUAAGUACAUAGAGACUCUUUUUCUUGAUAUUUUUUGAUAUACCUCUUCUAAGACAUGGCUUCAAGUGAGGGUGAAGAUUUGAGAGUGAUUGAGAAGUUUAGAGGUGACAAUUUCUACCAUUGGAAGGUCAAAAUGGAGCUUUUGUUGGCAUCUUUGGACCUUUGGGACAUUGUAGAUGAAAGUGAAGAGCCUCCAAGCAUGCAUGCUAAUGCUAAAGAGAGGAAGGACUUCACAAGACGAGAAAAGAAGGCUUUUGGCAUAAUUGCCACUAAUUUGGAUGAAGCCAAUUUUUCUCACAUCAUCUCUUGCAAAGAACCAGUAGAAGUAUGGAAGACUCUUUGCAACAUAUAAGAGAGCAAAAACUUAUCCAAUAUCAUCUUCACAAGGAGGAAAUUCUUCACUUGCAAGAUGGAAGAAGGUGAAGAAUUUAUGGCUCAUGUCAAUAAGGUAAAAGUCCUUACUAAUCAACUUGCUAUUAUUGACAAGUCUUAGAAGAGAGUGAUAUUGUCACGACCUUGCUUAUGAGCCUUCUCAAGUCCUACAACUACCUCAUUGUGGCAUUGGAAUCCAUCAAAGUAAAAGAACUUAUAAUGGAUUAUAUGACAGCAAGACUUGUCCAUGAAGUAACCAAGAGAAAAAAAAAAGAGUUCCAAAGUGAGGAUUCGACUCUCUUUUCAAGGUAAGGCAAGAGGAGUCAUCCCAAUCAAUGAGACAAUGUGAGAACUUCCUUCAUUUGUGGAAAACCAGGUCUUUUUGCUCAAAAUUGCUACAAGGCUAAAAAAGAAGAUAAAGAAAGUGCAAACAAUGCUCGUGAUGAAUAUGGAGGUGAUGAUUAUGCAUUCAUGGAAAGUGAAGGUACUUCCAUGGCUGCCAUGUCCAAGUGGAUCAUUGAUUUUGGUGCCACCAAGCACAUGACUCCAUACAAGUGUUCAUUUGACACUUAUGAAGAGAUUUCAAUAGUAAAUAUUCUCAUGGGAGACAAUGGCAUAGUACAUGCUAUUGAAAUGGGCUCCAUUGUUAUAGAGAUUUUUGUGAAAGGCCAAACUAAGAAGAUCAGAUUGAAGGACGUCUUACAUGUGCCAAAGAUGAAGAAAAACCUCCUCUCGAUGAGUAUACUUAUUUCAUAUGGUUGUAAAGUACAAUUUGAUAAGAAUGGGUAUUUUGUGAAGACAUUGAAAGGAGAUCAUAUUACAAAGGGCUUUAGAGAUGGCAACCUCUACUUCAUCAAGUGUAAGAAGGUGAAUGGAGUUGAAGUGGCAGUAUUUGCUGAAUUUCCUCAAGAUUAAGACAAGUUUGGCAUUUGGCAUCGACGCCUUUGUCAUUUGAAUGCCAAGAGUAUGAAGGAGCUCCAAUCCAUAGUAAGUGUCUUAGAUCUUGGUCAUAUAAGCCACAAUGCUAUGAAACUUGCUUGUGAAGGUUGUAUUCAAGGCAAACAACAAAGGGCCAACUCGUUGUCGUAUGGAGUGAUUUGCUAUUUGAAAAUAUACUGGGUAUCUAGCUAUAGAGAGUGUAGCUUAAACCUUUAUAUGAUUCUUGUCUUAGCUUCCAAAACUCCUUUAUUUUUGUAUAAAACUCCAAAUAUAAUAAAAGCCCUUCAAAAUAUAUUUUUUUCGCAAAGAGUUUUCUUGCCUUGAAUUUUAGAAAAUCAUAACUAUUGAUCUAACCAUUGAGUUUGUCUCAAAUUUAUAGAAUAGGUAGAAUUCACCCUUAAAUUUUAUUACAAAAAAAACCAACUGCAAAUUCAUUCCUAAUCUUUUGGAAUCUAAGAAACCCUGGUAGUACUCUAAAUCCUAAUUUACAAGCACCCGAAAAACUAUUUUAUUUAUAUCUCAAAAAUCCAAACUCUAAAUGUCAUAAAACUUAUGCAAAAAUUUUACUAACAUAAAAUUACACAUUCUCUGAAAUUUUGAGCAAAAACCUUGUUAAAUUGCUCAAGAUAUAGCUCAAGAGACAACCACUAGUAAAUCGGUUUACUUACUACCCUUAGAUUGCAUGUGCUAACUUCAAAAUCCAAUAACCCCUUCACUUUAACUUGGAAUCCAGUAUAAAGUAUGUUAAAAGUAUAGCCGCAAAAGUGCGUUCUCCAGUUGCAGUCGUCGAUCCUCAAUUGCUAUCCGUACGCGUGCGUUAUGCCCAAAAGAGUGACAGUAGGUCCAAAACUAACACCUUAACUUUGAGAGCCUAUAACUUCUUCAUAAAAACCCCAAAUGACACAAAACUUGCACCAAAACUAUAGCCAAAAACCUAAACCUUCUGACCCUAGCCUUAAAAACUCGAAUGGCCUCGAUAAACUAACUCUAAUCCCUAAUAUGGCCUCGGACAGCCUCCUCAAAGCCCAUUGGUCAUGAUUUUUGACCAAUAGGAAUGGAGAUUUUCAUUAUUCAUCACCAUUCAUCUAUAUUGGUGCCCUAAUUACUCCCUUUGCUUCCAAAAUACUUCUUUAAUCCUUAUUCUUACAAGAUUUACAUAAUUUUUGCUCUAAAUACCAAAUAAAAGAAUCAAAAUAAGUUUUCAAAUGUCACUAAUGUCUAAUAAAGGUGAUUCUAAAUAUUUAGAAGUUACUAUCAACCAAAACCAAUCUUAAAAGCCUUUAUCAAAAGGAAAUUAAAUUUAUACAAAUUCUAUAGUAAUCUUUUUAAACAACCUCAUCUCAAGGUAAUAAUCAAAUUAUAUUCUACAACCAAUUAAAAUCUACUAACAUGGCUCCCACCAUGUUACUUAAUAAAUUAUAUAUUAAGUACAUAAUUACAUUAUUUUCAUAUAGUAGUCGAAUUACAACAUGAGAACGUGUAACCAGGUUAUUGGAGAUUGUCCAUUCUGAUGUUUGUAGACCUAUGAAGAUGCCAUCAAUAGGAGGUGCAAGGUAUUUUGUCACAUUCAUUGAUGACUUUUCAAGGAAAGUAUGGAUUUUCAUCCUCAAAGCAAAGAGUGAGUGUUUCACAAGGUUUAAGGAGUUUAAGGUACUUGUGGAGAAGCAAUGUGAAUGCAAAAUUAAGGUAUUGUAUAUAGACAAUGGAGGUGAGUAUACGUCAAAGCAAUUUAAUGACUUCUUGAAGUUGCAUGGUAUUGCAAGACAAAAUUCCACUCCUUACAUUCCACAACAAAAUGGAGUUGCUGAAAGAGCAAAUCGGACCAUUGUGGAGAUGGCAAGGACUAUACUUCAUGCACAACACUUUGGACAUGAAUUUUGGAUGGAAGUAGUGGUGAAUACAAUAUACACAAGAAAUGAGUGUCCUAUAAGUGUACUUACAUCAAUGACGUCGGAAAAAACUUGGAGUGGGAAAAAACCUUGUGUUUCUCACAUGAAAACCUUUAGUUGCAUAGCAUAUGCAAAGAUAUUAGAUUGUAUGAGAUCAAAAUUUGAUGCAAAAGGUACAAAAUGUAUGUUUGUUGGAUAUUGUGAAGGUACAAAGGCUUAUAGGCUCAUGUCUUUGGAGACUAAAAAGAUCAUCAAAAGUCGUGAUGUUGAAUUUUUGGAGCACAAGAGUACUUGUGAGUACUUGGAGAUGUGUCCGAGUAGAAGUAAUGGUAUAUUUGUGGACACAUCUUCAAAUUCUGCAAAGAAGGAAGAAGACAAAGACAAUGAUGGUUUGUCAUGGAUAAAGAAAUACAGACUUGAGAUCUAACAAGAAGUUCAAGAAGAACUAACAAGAACUAGAUUAAUCAAAUGAGAACAACACCAAAGAGAUAAGCUAGAGCUCCAAGACAUGUGUUGUCGAGACUGAAGAGCUCUUCAGCCUCGAUUCCAAUAUAUACUCCUAUUUAGGAAGCUUCUCAAGCAACUUCUACCAACUAGGAAGCUUCUAGAAGGUUCCAGAGACUUGCUUCUAGAAGGUUCUAGAAACUUAUAUCUAGAAGGUUCUAAGGACUAUGUCCUUAACAUCUUCUACCAACUAAGAAGCUUCUAGAAGGUUCCAGAGACUUGCUUCUAGAAGGUUCUAGAAACUUGUCUCUAGAAGGUUCUAAGGAUUAUGUUCCUAACAUCACCCCCUCCUUUAGCUUCGAGGUCUCUAAGAAAUAAUGUUGUUGUUAAUCAGUACCAACGCAAGAAAAUGAAGAUCUGUCGCAUAACGUCUGCUAUGAACUCCAACUGUUGUUCACGAGACAAGUGGUUCAUCGGCCCUUGAAGCCAACGGUAGUGGCCCACUCCUUCAACUUCUGACUAAGCAUGAACUUCCGUGUCCUCAUUGUAAAAUUGUCCUACAAACACGCCUUCUAGCUGACCGUCAUAAGCAAGCUCGGACUCAAAUACAAUCACCAGUGAUUGGUUACUCGGUAUCCUCCGUCAUCGUCGUGGUGUAGGCGAUUCUUCAUCUCGGGGUCGCCUUCGUCAGCUAGUCGGUUGAGAUAAUCUGACUGACAUAAUAUCUAUCUCUAGGCUAUCCAUAUCAGAAGACCAAACUAUGGCUACUGAAAAAAUUCUACUUUAUCUUGGAGAAAAUAACUACAUCAACUAUGAAUUUUGGUGAUGUUCUCCCCCUUUCUUAUAUUCUUGGAUGAGCAAGCUUCAGAAAGAAGCUAUCGUCGAACCGACUUAGGUUUUUGAGGAUGUUAUUGAUGAAACUCAUGUACCUUUUGUGGCGCAUUGGCGAGAUUUUCAGCUAGCUCUCACGUUUGCUCAUUAAUGUCGUAGCCGCAUUAAUGAACAAGAUACUCCAACUUGCCCCACCUUCGCCAUGAAUCCAAUACCUUUUCAACCUCAUAUUCCUCAUGGUUCUCGAUCUCAAUAUUAGGUGGCGGACAUUAUACUCUUCUAAGAAAAGACGACUCUCGAUAAGGCUCUAACAGAGAAACAUGAAAGACUGGAUGUACCUUCAUAGAAGCCGGUAAAUCCAGACGGUAUGCCACUGGAUUGAUUUGCUUCUGGAUGAUAAAUGGUCUCAAUCUUCGAUAGUUCAACUUAUCACAUGGUCGCUUGGUCUUGAUAUUCCGUUGAAGAAGCCAUGCUUUAUCUCCAAUUUUAAAAGUAGGUACUUGAUUCCGAAAUCUAUCUACAGACGCCUUGUAGGAUUCUUGAGCGGAUUGUAAUUGAAGCUUCAACGUAAUUUGAAGCUCUGAUAGUUGUUUUGCAAAUCCUUCAGCUACUAGAUUAUUAUUUGUUGACGGACUCAAUAAAUCAAGCUUCAGAUGAUACCCAUAGUUAGAAAAAAAUGGUGUGUAUUGAGACGACGCAUGGAGGGUGUUGUUAUAUGCAAACUCGGCUAGCGGCAGAUAUGUGGUCUAAUCAUCUUGCUGAUAGUUGAUGCUGCAUUGUAAGUAUUGUUCCAAGACUUGGUUCAUCUAUUCCAUUUGGCCGUCAGUUUGAGGAUGAAAAGCCGAAGAAAGCUUGAUAUCCACCUUCAGUAUCUCAAAGAGAGAUCUCCAAAACUUUGAUUCGAACUGGAUUCCUCGAUCUGAUACGAUAUCAUCUGGUAGUCCAUGAUAUCGAUACAUAUUAUCGAAAAAAAGCCUUGCUGUGACUUCACUAGACGAUGUCUUCUUGCAAGGAACAAAGUGUACCAUCUUUGUAAGCCGAUCUAUCACGACAAAGAUGCUGUCAAAUGAGUUCGAUGAUGGAAGGUCCGUGAUGAAGUCCAUGGAAAUUGAAGACCAUGGUCGACGUGGAAUCAGCAAUGGCUGUAGGAGUCCAUAAGGGCGAUGCCAAGGAUUCUUGGAUCUUGAACAGAUGUCGUAGGAGAGGACAAAAUCUUUCACAUCCUUCUACAUUUGGGGCCACCAAAAAUCUCGAGAAAUAAGCUCCAAGGUCUUGUUGAAUCUAAAAUAUCCCGCAGCUAGAAAAUCGUGGCGAGAGUGAAGAACUCGGAGUCGUGCUGGUCCUUUUGGGAUAUACAACCACCCCUCAAAGUAUAAAAGAUCUCCCUUCACCUUGAAUUUGUCAUCAUUGGCAGGCUGCUUGAUAUCAAUGGCACGCUGCUUGAUAUCAAUGGCUACUGAAUCUUUAAUGGUCACGACAUGUACCUGAUUCAAGAAAUCAGCAUCAAUUGGUAUAAUAGUAGCGCAAAGCCGAAAUUGCUCUAGCUUCAACAACGUCGUACAUUGUUGAUCAAACACUGCUUCUCUAGCCUUUGAUACAAGAUACGAUCUCCUCAAUAAGGCAUCAGAUAGUCCUUACUGCUUUCCAGGUCGAUAAGUGAUAACAAAAUCAAACCUAGAUAGCAACAUACUCCACCAAGCUUGACGUCGAUUUAGAACUCGAGACGACAUGAAAUAUUCCAAAUUCUUGUGGUCUAUGUAUACGAUUACUGGGUGUGUAGCUCUUUCAAGAAAAUGAUGCCAUUCUUAGAAAGAAUCCACUAUAGCAAGAAGUUCCUUAUCGUGGAUCUCAUAAUUGAUUUCAGUAGUAGAGAACUUUCGAGAAUAGAAUGCAACCAGAUGGAGCUUCUUGUCUUCUCUCAUUUGUGAAAGUACAGCUCCCAAAGCAAAAUCCAAAACAUCAGUUUCUAAAUAAAAGGCCUUUGUAAAGUCUGGAUGUACCAAGAUUGGAGCCGUAGUAAAUGCGGUCUUCAAGUCUUGAAACGCCUUUUUCGCUAGAGGUCUCCAUUCCACCUUAUCCUUGCAUGUCAACCGAAUGAGAGGAGCAGCAACUUGAGAGUAAUUCUUGAUGAAGAUCCGAUAGAAGUUGGCAAAGACAAGAAAGCAUUGUACGUCUCUCACCGUCUUCGGAACCUCCCAGGACACGAUUGCUUCCACCUUCUUGGGGUCCAACUUCAAGCUUUUCGUAGUCGCAAUGAACCUCAAAAACUCCAUCUCUAUUUAGUAAAAUAAACACUUCUCCAACUUGGCAUAUAGUCCUCGCUUACGUAGUUUUUUCCAGACCAAACGUACGUACUUUUCAUACUCUUCCUCAUUUUUGGAGAAUAUCAGAAUAUCAUCCAAAUAGAUGACAACAAAAUCGUCAAGGUAUUCUCAGAAAAUAUCAUUCAUCAUAUGUUGAAAGACCACUGGAGCAUUGAUAAGACCAAAGGGCAUGACAUUAUACUCAAAAUGGCCAUACCUUGUACGAAAUGCUGUCUUCCACUCAUCUCCUUCCUUGAUUCGUACGAGGUUGUAAGCUCUCUUUAGAUCAAUUUUUGUAAAGAUCCUUGUACGUCCAAGUUGUUCUAAGAGACCAGAAAUCAAGGGUAAUGGGUAACGAUUCUUCUUUGUUACCUUGUUGAGGCCUCGAUAGUCCACACACAUCCCCAAUGAGCCAUCUUUCUUCUUCACAAAUAAGAUAGGUGCUCCAGCUGACGAUUUUGAAUGAUGGAUGAAGUUCUUGGCUAGAUUCUCGUCAAUGUAUUUCUGCAACUCCGCCAACUCCAUUUGUGAUAGAUUGUAGAUUGGGCCAAAAGGCAGUUGUGCUCCUUCCUGUAAGUCUAUGGCGCAAUCAUAUGGUCUGUGUUUCAGUAGCAUGUCGGUAUUUUUCUUUUGAAACACGUCUUUAGAAUCCUUAUAUAUCUCCGGUAUACUUGCUGUUGAGAUCUUCUCUCCGAUAGUUGGAGCCACAUAAAUGACAAACGGUGUGCCUUCCUUGGACGAUCUUAUAAACGCUCUUGCUCCAAUAAAUAAGAAUUUCUCUAUUCGGGGUUUUCUACUAGGCUUGCUCUUGGGUGGUUUUGUGGGAAAGGUCAUCUUCUACAACUUCCAAUCUAUGGAUGGAUUAUGCUUUUCUAACUAGGAAAGACCAAGAAUAACAAAAUUUGAUGGGGUUCUAAUAAUAUUGAAAAUAAUAAGACUACUAUGGCCCUUAAACGUCACUUCUAUAGGUUUUGAUUCAUAGGUGACACUACCAGACAAUAAAGGUCGCCUAUCUAUGACCUCAACGUGAACAGGUUUGGAUUUUUGUACUAAAGGGAUCUUAUGAUGUUUCACAAAUUCUUCGUCUAAGAAACAAGCAGAUGCUUCUGAAUCUAAUAAUGCUAAGGUUCUCAGUUUCUGAGGGCCAAUAAGCAAAGAGAUUGUAAAAUAAAGGGCAGGUUGAGUAGAAAGAAAGGAACCUCGUUGUUGUUACGAUAUUUCACUAUCCAGCCACACGGUUCCUAUUGUGGCUGGGCAUCCUUAUUUUUCUCAAUAAAUGCACCCCUAAUCUUGACAAUACGUUGAUUUUGCUUCUUGGGGCAGUUUCCAACUUUGUGGCCUUCUUCACCGCAAUACAAGCAUAGACCUUCCUCCAUACACCGCAUUUUUUCUUCUAGAGUAAGGGAUUUGACACGUACCGCAUAAAUUUACAUGUCUUCUACCUCUGAAUGUGAAUUCACGCUGCUUGUCAACAUAGUUGGGGCAUGGCGAACCAUAUGUUGUCUUGAAUGUUGGUCUUGGCGGCGUUGGAAUAGGCAGUUAUCGCACUUCACAGCUUGGCUAAUAGCUUCAUUGAGCGUUUACGGAUUAGAAAGAGUUAACAGCAAAUCCUUCACAUCGUUCCUUAAAUCCCAAUAGAAUUGACUCAUCAACGCUUCUUCAUUCCAAUUGAUGUCGUAUGCUAAUUGCUUGAAGUUCGAUGCAUAGACUGAUAUAGAGCGCAUCUCUUGUCGUAGUGACCGGAUCUUUGUUGUAGCCCAUCGAACCUUGUCGUGUUCACCAAAUGCUUCCGUAAAUGCCUCCAAAAAGAUUUCAAAGUUAUUUAGUAUGGACGAUCGUUUCUCAAACAAAAGGAGCAAACCAUGAUAGAGCUUGUCAUGUAAGUAAGGUUCCAACAAGCCCAACUCGUGACUCCUCUGUUAGAUAGCGUUCGGGCUGUAAAAUUGUUAUCAACUUGAUUUGAUUGACACAUCCUUGAAACUUGGAAUGCGUACCAUCGAACUUGUCCGGAAGGCUAACUCGGGGCUCCUUAUAUUGUAGAACGAGCGGUGCUUGUCGAACUUGAGGCAAAGUUGCUUCUCCAAGUGCAGAAGUUUGAGGCUGGUGCAACCUAGAUUGUACCAUCGUAGAUGUUCCAUCAUUAUGAAGCCUUGUCAUGACUCCUUCAAUCUCUGCAGUUCUUUGCGAUAACGUAAUGAGGACAUUCAUGAUAGCAUCUAACUUGGAUUCCGAACUUUCUGUCAAACUAUUGUCUUGGCCCCCGGCCAUUCUAAGAGAAGGACAGAAAUGAAUCUACAAGAAGACAAUAUUGGUUUAGAGGAGGAUACUCUGCAACCUCUAAAAUGCCUUAAGAGCUUCAAGAAAAGAGAUAAUCCACUCUCUCCAAGAAGAAUAAGACUCCAAUAUUGUAACAAAAGAAGUAUCAGUUUAGAGGAGGGUAAUCCGCAACCUCUUAAAUGCUAGUACACUUCCAAGCAGAGGGAUAAUCCACACUCUAACAAAGAAGAAAUUAGCUCUGAUAUCUGAGGUGAGUGAAGUCUCGACAAAUUAUCACGGACACAGAAAUACAAACUCAAGAUCUAAUAAGAAGUUCAAGAACUAGCAAGAACUAGAUUAAUCAAAUGAGAACAACACCAGAGUGAUGAGCUAGAGCUCGAAGAGAUGUGUUGUCGAGACUGAAGAGCUCUUCAACCUCGAUUCCAAUAUAUACUCCUAUUUAGGAAGCUUCUCAAGCAACUUCUACUAACUAGGAAGCUUCUAGAAGGUUCCAAAGACUUACUUCUAGAAGGUUCUAGAAACUUAUAUCUAGAAGGUUCUAAAGACUAUGUCCUUAACAUCUUCUACUAACUAAGAAGCUUCUAGAAGGUUCCAGAGACUUGUUUCUAGAAGGUUCUAGAAACUUGUCUCUAGAAGGUUUUAAGGAUUAUGUCCCUAACAUGGUUGUAAAGAUAGAAAUGAAGAUGAAGAGGCAAAGAAGGUGGACAAGAAGGCCUUUACAAUUGCUAAGACUAGCAAUGAAGAGUAUGAAGAUGUUGAUGAUGAUGGUGAUGAGGAUUAUAAAUCUUUAAGUGAGAAAAGACUAUCUUCAAAUAAAAAGAAGGUUAGAAGUGACCAUAGAGUGCAACAAGUUGAAUCUUCUUCAAAUGAAAGGAGAUAUCCUUUGAGAGAUAGAAAACAACAUGGUAAAUAAUAGAAGGACCAUAUUUUUCCUUAAGUAAGUAAAAAAUAUGCCAAUGUUGUACUUCUUGCUGAUCCAUUGAGUUUAUGUGAUGCAAUGAAGUCCACGGAUACUAUGAAGUGGGAGAAUGCUAUGAAAGAAGAGUACAAAUCACUCAUGGAUAAUGGAACAUGGAAAUUGACUCAACUUCUACCAAAUUGAGCUUCAAUUGGUUGUAAGUGGGUGUUUAGAACCAAAAGGGAUGCAAUGGGUAAUAUUGUGAGGUAUAAGACAAGAUUGGUUGCCAAAGGCUACUCACAAGUUGUUGGUGUUGAUUUCAAUGAGACAUUUGCUCCCAUGGCCAAAUUCACCAUCAUUAGAAUCAUUGUGGCAAUUGGUGCAGCAAUGGACUUGGAAAUGUACCAAAUAGAUGUGAAGACGACUUUCUUGAAUGGAGAAUUGGAAGAAGACAUCUACAUGGAUCAACUCAAGGAUUUCUUGAAGAAAGUAAAUGACAACUUGCAUGUAAGUUGAAGAAAUGCUUGUAUAGGCUUAAGCAAUCAUGAAGGGCAUAUUACCAACGUAUCGACACCUUUUUUGUGAAUGAAGGAUUUGUGAAGAGUGAGGCUGAUCAUUCCAUUUAUGUGAUGCAAUGAAAAGCCUUCUUGCUGAUUGUUAUUCUUUAUGUUGAUGAUUUGAUCAUUUUGACCAAUACUUUGAAAAAGAUGGAUUGGUUGAAGGCAAAGUUAGCAAAAGAAUUUGAAAUGAGUGAUUUGGGAGAGCUCCACUAUUGCUUAGGAGUACAAUUUGUGAGAGAUUGAGCUAAGAAGAUCAUUACAUUGAGCCAAAAGAAGUAUAUUGAAGAAGUGUUGAAACGGUUCAAUAUGAAGGAGUGCAAGUCCAUUGGAAUACCUUUGGAGGUAAAUUUGAAGUUGAUGAAGGUCACGGAUGAGGAAUUUACUGAAGUUGAAGAAGAAAUAAAAGUUGUUCUAUACAAGGCAGCAGUAGGCUCACUUAUGUAUGCAAUGGUUGAUACAAGGGUGGAUCUUGCAUAUGCGAUGAGUGUUGUGAGUCAACACAUGUCAAAAGCUGGACCAAUUCAUUGAACAACCAUUAAGAGGAUCUUGAGGUACUUAAAAGGCACUUUGAACUUCAAAUUGUGUCUUGGAGGUGAUAGUAUUACAUUGCAUGGAUAUUGUGAUGCGGAUUGGGCUGGAGAUGCAAAUGAUAGAAGGUUAACAAUAGGAUAUGUAUUCUUUGUUGGAGUGGGAGCAAUUUCAUGGAAUUGUAAGAUACAACUAAUAAUUGCAAGAUCUACAAUGGAGGUGGAAUACAUGGCAGCAAGUCAUGGUGCAAUAGAGAUAAUAUGGCUAAGACGAGUUUUAGAAGAUAUUAGAUUUGUGUAAUUGGAAGCAACUCUAAUGAAGUGUGACAAUCAAGGAUGCCUUGCUUUUGCCAAGAAUCCAAAGCAUCAUUCAAAGAUAAAGCACAUUGACAUUCAACAUAACUUCAUAUGGGAGAAGAUUGAAAUGAAAAUAAUUGACAUGAAAUAUUGUGCAACAGAAGACAUGCUUAUUGAUUUACUUACAAAAGCAUUGGUGAAAGAUAGACAUUACAAAUUGACAAAGGGAUUAGGUUUAUUAGCCUUUGACUAAUAGCAAAGUGGGAGUGUUAAAGUAAAUGAAAGAUAAGUUAAAAGGUAAAAGAUAUUAUGUUAGAUAAGUUGUUAAUGGUCAAAGGGCAGCAAAAUGAUGAAGAAAAGUUACUAAGAUGGCGGCUAGGGUUAUAAGUGGCAGCUUGGUUAAAAAGAAUCUAAGAUUUAAUUGGAUGAAAGUAAGUUGAAUACUAGCCAAAAUGGAUGUAAUCUCUACCUAUAAGUAAAGGCUGUUGGAAGUGAGAGGUAUCUCAUUCCACACUUCUCUUGUGUCUAACCUUGCUGAUUUCUACUUACUUGUGUCUUGCUUAUUGUGUUUCUUCAAUAGAAAGUACUUUGGCUUUACAUAAAAUUCCUUCAAUUACAAGAUAUAAAAGAUUGGAUGGACCUUAAUAUUUUUUUAGUGGUUUGUGAUGUGGCAUAUUGCCUUGAGCUUCGGCCACAUAUUUAGGUCCAUCCAAUCUUUUACAUUCCUUCAAUUACAAGAUUGAAUGGAUCUAAAUAUGUGGCCAAAGCUUAAGGUUAAUGACCAACAAGAAUAUGAAGUAGACAAUAUUUUAGAGCAUCUCUACCUUUGUUGUGGUAGUGGACAUCUAUAACUUCAAUACAAAGUUCUUUGAAAAGAUUAUUCCAUCCUUGAUACAAUAUGACAACUUGCACAAAACCUCACCUAUUGCCAAGAGACAAUUUUAAAAUACCAUCGGGAGCAAAAUGAGGACGUUUCAUAUUAAUAAAGAGAGAUUAACUAUAACAAGAUAUAGAUAAGAUAUUUGCAUUGUUGACACAUAGGAAUAGAUAGUUGAAAGUAUGUUUGAUAAGUUAUAGAAGUUUUUAAAAUUAAGGCUAGGUUAAAGGAUUAUAUAAGAUCUAUCAUAGAAUAUUCUAAAAAAAACUUAAGAUAGUUAUCUAAAUAGGGCCUAUCAUAAAAUCUUCUAAAAAAAAUUUAAGAUGGUUAUUUAGGUAGGAUCCAUUAUGGAAUCUUCUAAAAAAAAUUUAAGGUAGUUAUCUAAGUAGAAUCUAUCAUUCUAGAAAGUCUUAGGUAGUAGAAUAAAGUUUAAAUAGGACUAGCCACGGCCUUUUGGAACAUCUAGUCAAGUAUGGCUUUGGACCUUCUCUCUUAGUAAAGUUUGGUUUUGUGUCUUUUUAUUUAAUUUCUAUUUACACUAUUUUGUCUUUUGUAUCUUUUUUGUUUAAUUUUAUUUAGUUUUAUUUUGGUCUAUUUUGUCCUAUUUUAUAAUGAAGUUUUAUAUUGCUAUAGAUUAGAAGAGUCUUAGACUUCCAAGAUAGACUGGUUCUAUUUUAUAUAUUUAUUUUAAUAAAUACCUAUAUGAUUAGAUAAAAUUAAAUAAAAAUAAAUUAAAUUAAAUUUAUUUUAUAAUACCUAUUAAAGAAGCUUCUUAGAAAUUUCAUUGACACUGAUUUGACUUUACAUGCAUUAAUAUUUGAUUGAUAGGUUAAAAACUUGAGCAAAAAAUCAACCACAUAUUGAUAGCUUACAAAACAAGCUAAUUAUGUGGUGUACAUAUAUACAUAACUACCUUAUAAGUUAAGAUAUGUAUCUUAUAAAGCCAACAUGUUUUAGAGGUCCUAUAGGACAUUUCCAUGUAGGUCUUAAUUAAUAGUAUAUAUGGAAGUAAGAAUAAAGCUUUUUUUUACUCUUAUCAAUACCUUUCUAGUCGUUAGUCUUAUUUUAAGACUUUUUUGUCUUCUUGUUUUUGGCAAUAGCUACUCUAGUUUAGUAUUAUAUCAUCUUUGAGUGACUUUCUAGUUCUUUUUAGUGACACAAGAGUGUAUUGAGGAUUUCUUUCUUUGAGAUUCAUAUCCUUGACAGUUUGACAAGAAUGCUAACUUAUUAUUCUUAUCUUAUUUUAGAAGUGAAUAGAUUAUCUCACUUCUAUUGUUGUAUUUUGAAGGUUGCAAAUUAUCCAUCUUUAAACAAAUAAUCUUCUUUUUUAACAUUGAUUUUUUCCUAAAAGAUAGUAGAUUAUCUUUCUUUGUGAAUAUUUUCAUUUGAUAUUAGAGAUUAUGGAUUAACAUCCACUAAUUAAAUUUUUUGAAUUUUUUUGAGUUAUCUAUAGUAGAAAAGAUUAUAGAUACUACUCUCAAUGGAAGUGAGAAUAUAUUUUUAACUAUUAUAGAUCUUUAUAAGUUUGUUAAUAUUCUAAGAAUAAAAUUCUCACAUAUUUUUAACGUGAAUCAUUGAAGUAUUAUUCUUACAUAUUUGGAAGAAGUUCAAAGUCUAAAUUAAGAAGUUGUAUAGUUGAAGGAAGCAAGUAUAUUAUUCUUACAAUCAAAUUUAAGAAGUUUUGCUUUAAUAAGUAUAAUGAGGACAAGGAUUAAUAUGCCUAAGAAGUUUGAUGAAAAAAGAUCAAAAUUUCAAGGAUUUUUGCAACAAGUCAAGUUCUAUCUAAGAUUGCAUCUUUUUCAAUAUCUUGAUGGAUUUACUCAAGUUGAAUUCAUAGAUGGACUUCUAUUAGUAAGUAUUCUUUUUUAGUUUGUAUCUUUAAUAGAAAAGAAUUCACAAUUCUUUUAUAAUUUGAAUUCAUUCUCAGAAGUAUUUACAACCAUAUUUAGAGAAAGUGAUUAAAAAAGAAUAGCAAAGAUCAAGCUCUUAUAUUUAUAAUAAAGAUUAUGGUCAACCACUAUAUAUGUUGUUGAAUUUGAAAACCUUGCUUAUGAUAUAGACUAAAAUAAAAAAAAACCUUAUCAAUCAAUUUUGAUAUAUGUUGAAGAAUAAUGUCAAAGAUUUAUUAUUGACAAUAUCAAAGGUAAAAUCUUUGGAAUAAUUUAUUGCUUAAGCCAUUGCAUGUAAUAAUUGAUUAUUUGAAAGAUGUCAAGAAUAAAGACUUGGCUAGAAAGGAAUAAGUCAAAUAAUGACAGCACCUCUCAAGUUUUCAAAAACUUAUUCAUCAAGGCCAAAACCAAUGCAAAUUGAUAUAGUAUAUUUCAAAUCCCUCACGAAGCACAAAAAGACUCAACAAUGCCAAGAAGGCUUAUCCUUAUAUUGUAGAGAAACUAAAUACAUUACUUAAUAUUAUCCAAAGAAAAAAUGCAACCACAAAAUAAAAAGCAUGGUUGCCAAAAAACAUGAUGUAUUGAAAAACAAAUUUCUUCAGCUAGAAUAGAAACUAUGUGCUUGAAAUCUUGUAUAAUUUCUAAUAAAUAUUUUAUUCUCUCUUCAAAUUUCACUUUUUUUUACAAUAUAAAUUUAUUUAUGACUAAAAAAUCACAAAGUCUUAGCUUUAUUAGAUUUAGAAGCCUCAACCUAUUUUAUAAACAAAAAAUUUGUCAAAAAAUAAGAAGUAUUGUUAUUCAAAAAAACUAAACUUGUACAUAUAGAAGUUAUAAAUAGUCGUUUGCUAUCUUCUAAAGAUGUUACAUAUGACACUAUUCUUUUAGAUGUAGCAAUUAAAGAUCAUAAUAACAUAGUAAUAUUUAAUGUAAUAAGAUCUCUAUUAAAUUUGAUUAUUUUAGAAUUAUUUUGGUUAAAAAAAUAUAAUCUUCAAAUAGAUUGGAUUUCUUAUAAAUUUAAUUUUUUUGAUAGUUUAAUUCGAAAUCCUAUCAAUGAAGUAAAAACUUAUAAGUUUAGUAUAUCCAAAUCCUUACUAGUAGAUGCAAAAGCUUUUAUGCAUGUCAUAAAAGAAGGAUUAUCUUUUGCUAUAUUUAUCAUAAUUAUUUUUCAUAGUGAAAAGAUGUCAAGUAGUAUUCCUAACCAAUAUCAAGAUUGUCAAGUCACUUUUGAAAAAAAGAAUUCAAACAUUCUUUCAGAGGAUUGUUCUUAUAAUUGUUCCAUUAAUCUUUACAAAAGAUCUCAACUACCAUUUGGACCAAUCUAUAGCCUGUUAUAAAAAUAAAAUAUAGUUUGAUAAAAACUUAGCUAAGAAUUUCAUAUGCCAUUUUAAAUCUCUAGCCAUAGCUCCUAUCUUAUUUUUGAAGAAAAAAGAUAAAUCUCUAUGGAUGUGUGUAGAUUAUCGAGGACUCAACAAAAUCACCAUCAAGAAUAGGUAUCUUCUACUUUUGAUUUCAAGACUUCUUAAUCAAUUCAAUCAAAUAAAUAUUUAUAUAAAAAUAAAUCAUUGAUGUUAUAAUACAUAUUGUCUUGUUUGAAAAUACAUCAAGCAAUUGGUUAUAGAAGGUAAAAUUGUGUUUUUAAAUAUACAAGAAAUCUUAAUAGGUUUCAUCCAUGUAAGAAGAAUGCAAUUCAAAUUUUAAUUAAAAAUUACUUAAAGCUAAUAUAAAGUACUUAAAAAUACUCUUCUUAGUUAUCUCAAUUAUAUAUAAAUUCCAAUUACCUUCUUACUUUUAUAAUUAGGUAUUUUUUAUUUUUCUUUAUAAGUCCUAAUCCUCAUUAAUGAACUUUGGUGCACUAUAACUCCUGAUUUGACUAUCUACUUGAUGCAAAUUUUUUUAUACAAAUGCCAUUAUAAGUCUUCUAUAUAUCCAAAAAAAAUUCAAUUCAAUCCAAAUUACAAAUUAUAAAAAAAAGUCCAAAAACUACAUUGAUGUUACUUGGCUACCAACUUGAAAGUUGAUACAAAUGUUCUAAUAGAAACUUCUCCUAUUCCAAAAACUAACUUCAAUUCAAAAUUGGUGUAUCAUUGAAUAAUGAAGUUUUCUACCAUCAUGCCAAAUUUCACCUUAAUUUAUUAAGUAGACCUUUAGAUUUCAUAGAAAUCCUACCCAACCUCAAAUUGCCAACUUUUGAUACCUUCUUAUACUAAAACCUAGAUAUCUCUCAAUUGCAUUAUUAGAUUAAGAAAUAAAUUUAUAUAUACUUAGCUUAUCCAAUCAAUCAAGUAUUUUUAAAUUUUUAAUCAUAAAUACAACAUUAAUUAUACAAACUAGCCAAAAAUGGUAGUCUUAAUUAUAUUGUAUAAAUUCCAAAUCAUUGAUACAAAUCUUGAUUUUGAAUAAUAAUUACAAAGUUAUUAUAAAUCUUAUGAAAAUAAGCUUUAUAUCUAUAGAAUCAAUUUGAAGCUAAUUCUCAAAUCUUAAUUACCAAUCUUUGAAUGCCCUUCUAUUUUACCUUGUAGUAGCUAUUUUAGUGGCUAGAGGUCUAAUUUUGACCCUGUUUCAUAAAUGGUUGAUCCUUGGAUAUCAAUCUAAUAUAUCCUAAGAGAUUUUUAAUCCAAUCCUACCUUCAACUUAAUCCUAGUAUCAACCAUGCUAAUUGUUUAUCUCUUCUAAUUUAAUUUUAUCAAUUUAUAGCCUUUUUAAAAUAGUAAAAGAAUUUCUACACUGUAGAAGAUAAAAUUAUUAACCAAAUUUUAUUGUAUUAGUGAUAAAGAUAAGAAAAUAAACUAAGAAGAAUUUAUAAAAGCUAUGUUUAAAUAUCUUCAUUUAUUAUUGAAUCAAGAUGAUUAGAUAUUAAUUAAAAAUUUAUUUUUGAUUAUAUUUUUAUCAUAUAUUUGUGUCACAACUUGACAAUAAGAAGUAUAUAAACUAAUAUGCAUUAAAAAAAGAGAUGAAUAGAAAAGUGUAUUUUGAACUAGAUAUGAGAAUUUUGAACAUAAUGUCAUGCCUUUUAAACUCACAAACAUACUAGCUACUUUUCAACAUCUUAUGAAUGAUGUCUUUUGUGAAUUUCUUGAUGAUUUUUUUAUCUAUUAUUUGGACGACAUUUUAAUCUACUCUAAGAAUAUAAAAGAGCAUGAAGUUUACAUUUGUCAUACAAGUGAAAAUAAGAUACGAGAUUAUAAACAAAGUUAAAAAAGUAUAUAUUCCACAUUACUCAAGUUGAUUCCUUAAGAUACAUCAUUUCUAAUGAAUGGCUAAUGAAUGAUCCAAAAAAAGUCUAGAUUGUGAAGGAUUGGAAGAUUCUAAAAAUAAUAAAAGAUGUAUAAUAUUUUUUAGGCUUUGCCAAUUACUAUUGAAUCUUCAUGAAGAAGUUUUCUCAAGUUGCACCUUUACUUAUAUAUUUGACUUGUAAAAAAAAACUUGAAUAGAGUAAAGAAGCCAAAGCAUUAUUUGAUGAUUUAAAAAUUGAUCUUAUUUUUGCAUCAAUCUUAUAUCAUGUUGACUUCUUUAAGAUAUUUUUCAUGAAAAUAGAUGCAUGAGACUUUACCUUAGAUGCAUUAUUAUGACAAAUGGAAAUAGAUGACAAAUUUUAUCCUAUAUCUUUUAUUCCAAGAAAUUUUCAGCAUUCAAGAUUAAUUAUGAGAUCCAUAAUAAAAAUCUCUUUAUAAUUGUCGAUUUAUUUCAAGAAUAGUGUCAUUAUUUAGAAGGCACCUUGAGUCUAGUUACUAUAUAUAUAAAUCAUAAGAACCUCAAGUACUUCAUGUUGAAAUAUAUUUUGAAUCAUUGCCAAGCUCGUUGGAGCAUGUUUUUAUUAAAAUUUAAUUCUAAGAUCUCUUAUCAAUCAAAGAAACAAUAAGAUUUAUCAAACGUAUUUUUUAGAUGUUUUUAUUUUAUACCAAAAGAAAAAGAUGUAUCCUUUAAUCAAUAAAGAAUAAUUCUCUUGAAGCCAAAGAAUUUUUAUCUUCGAGCAAUAAAAUCAACAUUGAUUGUUGAUUCAAUCUUUGUCAAGUAAAUUCAAUCAAGUAUGUCAUCUAAUCCUUUUAUCCAUAAUAUCAAGAAUAAUUCUUUUAAGUUUCAUGAUAUUUUCAAGUUUGAAUUUAAAAAUAACCUACUUUAUUUUGAAGGACAAUUAUAUAUUACAGAAGGUGGGAUAUAUUUACAUAUUCUUCAAACUCAUUAUGAUUUUUUAACACCUGGAUAUUUUGGAUACAAUAAGACUUUGGAGCUAAUAUCUAGAGAUUUUUAGUAGCCUCAAAUGUGAAAGGUAGUCAAAGACUUUAUACAAUUAUGCAAUAUUUGUUUAAGAUUUAAAACUCCUUGCUAUCAAAAUUAUGGACUUCUUUAGCCAUUUUUUAUUCCAAAACAGUCGUGGUCUUCCGUUUCCAUGGAUUUUAUCAAAGAUUUUUCAAUGUCAAGUUUGUAUGAUUCUAUAUUUAUGAUAGUAGAUCGUUUUAUUAAGAUGACAUAUUUUAUAUUAUAUAUAAAAUCUAUCAUAAGUGAAGAAAUACCUAAGUUUUUUUUUUAAUAUCUAUUAUUAUUAUAGAUUUUUUAAAGAUAUUGUAUCAAAUAAGAAAACUCAAUUUAUAUCAAGAUUUUGAAAAAUAUUUUUUUAAGAUUUUAAAGGUGGAUAUAAAGUUAUUUUUGGCUUUUCAUCUUCAAAGUGAUGGGCAAAUAAAAUAAAUAAAUCAAGUUCUAAAGCAAUACUUAAGAUAUACUAUCAACUAUCAUUAAGAUGAUUGGACAAUUCUUUUACCAUUAAUAGAGUUUGUAUACAAUAAUUUGGUAUAUUUUUUCUAUUCAAUAUUUUUUUUACCAAUUAUAGUUAUCAUCCAUGACUUGAUAUUUUUGACUUUUCAAAGUUGAUAAUCUAGUAGCAAAAGAUUUGGCAAAUCAUUUGUUAGAACUACAUGCAACAAUGAAGGUGGAAUUAAAAAGAGCUUAAGAAUGACAAAAAAUUAAGGCAAAUGCCUAUUUCAAGGAACAAUCACAAUUCAAUAUAAGUAAUAAGAUAUGAUUUCUUUAUCACAAUAUUAAGACUACUUAUCCUUGUGAUAAGUUGAAUUAUCAUAGGCUUGAAUCCUUUCCUAUUUAAGAACAAGUCAAUCUUAUUGCUUAUUGAAUAUAUCUACCAAAGUCUAUGAAGAUCUACCUUAUAUUCCACGUGUCUCUUUUUGAGCCAUAUAUGAUAGUGAAUAUCUUGAAAAAAAAGACAAAUGCCACCUUUUCCUAUAGAAAUGGAUAAUAAUCAAGAAUUCAAGGUGAAAGAAGUUUUAGAUUUAAGCCAAUGCCAAAAUAGGUUGAAAUAUCUUGUUCAUUGAUAUGAAUAUGAUAUUAAUGAAUGCACAUAGAAGCCAACAAAGAAUCUUAUAAAUAUAGCAAAAAGAAUUGAGGAUUUUUAUAGACAACAUCCAUCAAAAUCAAGAUGAAAAAUAACAUAUCUUUCCUAUAAAAGAAACAAGAUCCAAAGAAGAUGACAUUCUAUCUUAUAUCUUUUUUUAUAGCUUUUGUAUAUUUGUGAUGCUAAAGAGAUGGAAAAUCAACAAUGAGUAGAUUGAAUCCAAGAGCUUUUACUUGUUGAUUUACUAAAUAAGACAUUGGAAUUGUCAGAAUCUUCAAGUCAAUGUAAUUGAGAUGAAGAUCCUCAAGAACAACAUAUCCUUCCUCAAAUAGAUGGCAAGAUACAAUAUUUUUGGUAUCACAACCUUUGAAGAGACUCUUAAUGUUUCGUGAUUUUAUUAAAAAUAUGAAUAAUUUUUAAUAGUAUUCCAAAUGUUUUAUUUGAAAGAAGUUACAAAGAUCUUAAUAACAAUCAAAUAAUAAGAUGAUCUUUUUGCCUUGGUAUGAGAUACUAUCGAUAAUUCAAAGGACUUAUCAACCAUCUUCAAAGCGAACAAAGAUCAAAGUAUGUGACAAAUAUAAUUUGUCGCAUCUUGGAUUUCAUCAACACAAGAUGACCGCUUUUUAUAGAACUUAUUCUUAAAAAAAAGAAUAAUGUCAUAUAUAUAUAUAUAUAUAUAUAUAUAUAUAUAUAUAUAUAUAUAUAUAUAUAUAUAUUAGUAAAUAUCUAUAUUAUUGAAUUGAAGUAAAUAAAAAUAGAUAAAAUUAGAUUAAUUUCAUAAUAUCUUCUAAAGAAGCUUCUUAAAAAAUUCAUAGACAUUCUUUUGAUUUUAUAUAUAUUUUUAGUUAAUUGAUAGGUUAGAAACUUAGACAAUAAAUUAACCAAGUGUUGAUAGCUUACGAAAUAAGUUAACUAUAUGGCGUAUAUAUAAAAAAUCUUGUCUUAUAAGUUGAAAUGUAUGUCUUACAAAGUCAAUAUGUUUUAGAAGUCCUAUAUGACAUUGCUACAUAAUUCUUAAUUAAAAGUAUAUAUGGAGGCAAGAAUAAAGCCUUCUUCAUUCUUGUUAAUGCCUUUCUAGUCUUUAGUCUUAUUUCAAGACUUUCUCAUCUUCUUAUUUUUGACAAUAGCCAUUUUAGUUUAAUAUUAUAUCAUCUCUAAGUGAUUUUUUAAUUCUUUUCAAUAACACAAGAAUGAAUUGAAGAUUCCUUUCUUUAAGAUUCAUAUCCUUGAUAUGUAGCAUAUAUAACAAAAAGUGACUUUUCUAUUACAACAUAUAUAAAAGUUCUUGCACCUACUAAUAAAGAUUUUAUUACAUUAGAUUUAUGGAUUUUUACUUGAAUAAUAAAAUUUUAGAUUAAACUACAAAAAAAAUCAAUGUUAUAAGAAAUUUAGUCUUUUUGAGUUAUACUUCUUCAACUAUAAUAAUUCUAAAAUAAUUAAAUUUGAAGGAAAUCUAAUUACAUUAAAUAUUACUGAGCUAUUAUAAUUAUUAAAUGUUACAUCUAAAAGAAUAAUUUUAUAAAUAAUAAUUAUAGAAAAAAAUAAAUGUCUAAUUAUUAUUUAUAUAUAUAUGGAUUUUAUUUUCUUGAUUAAAAAUGUUUCUUAUAUUUUAACAAAGUCUAUGUCUAUAAAACAAGCUAAGACUCUUCAAUCUAAUAAGGCUAAGACAUUAUGAUUUUUUGAUCCUAAAUGAACUUCUAUUGUAAAACAAUUGAUGGAUUUAAGAAAAAAAUAGAAACUUUGUUAGGUGUUGUAUAAAGUUCUAAUUAGAUGAUCUCUAUUAUAGUUGGAGAAUUUUUUUUCCAACUCAUUGUCUUUUUUGGUAACCAUACUUCUUAUUUUAUGAUUAUAUUGCUUUUUUAGAUAAUAUUGAUAAUAUUGAGCAAUGUGCUUGGAUUUUCCAUAAUAUAAGUACAAAACUUUUUGACAACAUCAAGUCUUUUUUUGCUCAGUAAGAAGUUUAAAAUAUUUUGUAUCAAUUUGCAUAAAUCUAAGCAUUAAUAAAUAAACUUCUUAAAACUUAAAAGCUAUUACUAUGAUUUUAUUUGACUUAUAUCUUUUCAACCAAAUCAUUAUAUUUGGCAUCUUUCAAAGAAUUGAUUGUCAUAUAUAGUGGAUUGAGCAAUAAAUUACUCAAUUGAAUCUACUCUUUGUAUUAUUAAUAAUAAAUCUUUGACAUUAUCUUUAAAUCCAUAUCAAAAUUGAUCAAUAAAAGCUUUAUCAUUU
rnacentral:lncRNA from 1 species